AAAGUUUUCGUUUGUCGGAAUCGGGGCUUAGGGAUUUUCGAGAACCUAGUUCUCACGUUUUAACAUUUUCUUACCGACGAGUUCUUUUUAUCUUUGUUUCACCCCUUGUUUCAAACUAUUCUUCGUGAGGUUAGGCCUAAGGAUUUUCGGAAGUCUUCUCUCACGCUUUAGCAUCUGCUCCAAGAGUCGUUUGGAGUCAAGAAUUUAUCAACCUUCGGUCCAAGUGUGUGAAGCCCUUAAUAAGAUCGUAUCAUUUAUUUAGUAGAUCUGAGUGUUUCUUGAAUUAUAUUUGUCCAUAAUCCAAAAAUGGAACAGAGGAAACAGCAUGACACGUAAAGUAAUUAACUUUCUAUGUAGAACUAGUCUGCUCCAUGGAAGUUUGCUUCGGGUAAGCAACUCAAAUAUUACUUAUACUUUAUGCGUUUGUUAGUGGCAAUCAAAAACAAACUAAACUUCUUCAUGCUUUGUGUUUUUCCCUUUUACUUGUAUAGUUCAUAGAUCUGAUAAGUGACACAAAGUGGUAAAUGAAAAAAAGAGAACAGUAAAUAGUACCAAAAAUACUUAAAGAAGAAAAAAAUAAUGAUACAAAAAGUUGAAAAUAUCGUUUUUGGUACGCUAGUUCUUACUGUAUUUGUGAUUGUAACUACUGAAUUGAUAGAGUCCACAGUAUGAAAUCAGUAAAUUACCAAUUAAACAUUUGUACCGCACUGUGUUCUCUCAUUACUGAAAACUACUCAUUUUAUAUAUAAAUAUAACUGAGAUUUUUUUUACCGAAAUCUAAAUUAAUUUUUUAAUUUUUAGAUAUAUAAAAAAAUUAAAUAUUUUAGUUAUUUGAUGACAGUGACUAACAAUAAUUGGAAUCAAGGCCGACUAAAAGCCACUCCAACCAGACAGCAAAACACUAAAUUUGGUGUUAAAAUUACUCCAACCGAAUGGUAUAUGAGACGCUAUAUUUUUGUUUUUGCCGUUUCAUGAACAGUAUCACACCAUAUUUGGUAUAACACUCUUCAUCACACUAAAUAUUAAAAUAUUAUUAUUUUUAGUUGUUCUAUUAUAUAAUAUAAUUAGUUUGUUGUUUAUUCAUUGAUUAAAUAUGUAGCUAAAAAAAAUAUGACAUUGAUAUUUUUGUAUAAAUCAUUUUAAUGAUACAAAAAUUUAUUUGUAACAUAAUAUUUUUUCCCUCAAAUAAGAAUAUUUUAAAUAUAUAUAUACUUUUAUUUUAUUAUUAAUUACAAAGAACACUCAUUAUUUCUAAAUUUAUAAAUUAUACACAAAUAUUUACUUGUUAGUUUUGAUUUUUGGCUUUAUGGAUAUGUUCUACUAAAUGUUUUAAUGGUUUUAUAGAAAAACUUUAAUAUACCACACUAUCUCUUUGUGUUAACUUUAUUUUUUUUAAAUAUAAUUUUAAUUACAUAAUUUAAAUAUUUGUUUGUUAGUUUUGACUUUUGGCUUUAUGGAUAUGUUAAACUAAAUGUUUUAAUAGUUUUAAAGAAGUAUUUAAUAUACCAAACUAUCUCUUUGUCUUAAUUUUAUUUUUUAUUAAAAUAUAAUUUUGAUUACAUAAUUUAAAUAUUUGCUUGUUAGUUUUGAUUUUUGGUUUUAUGGAUAUGUUGUACUAAAUGUUUUAGUAGUUUUAUAGAAGAAUUUUGAUAUAACAUGUUUUGGUAUAAAACCUUAUAAGAAAUUUUAUAAACUUUUAUAAGAAAUCUUAUAAAUCUUUAUAAAUAGUUAUUGAUCAAUACUUAAAAAAAAGAAAAUUUAAAUAUAAUAAUAUAACAAUAAAGAAUAUUCUUUUUAGUGUGAAAUAUAAUGUUAUGGUUGGAGAUAGAAAAAAAAGUAGAACACUAUAACAUCAAAUUUGGUGUUAUUUUUACACUAAAUUUACCGUUUAGGUUGGAGAUGAAAACCUAAACGGAUCAGUAUAGGUGUACAACCUUCUAAAAAUAAAAAUCGGCUAUGUUUAUAAAUCGGUUUCUUUUCAUUUUACCAUAUAUUUUGCAACCUUCUUAAACUCAAAACCUACUUUGAUUGAUAACACAUAGAAAUACUAGAAUUUCGAUUCAUCCAAACCUCUCUCCAACACUAAAAGCAUAUGGUAUUCAACUGAGAAAAAACAGUUGGACGGUGUCGCAAUUAUUUACUUGACUCAAUAUGAGUCAUGACUAUAUGCCUUCUAAACGUAGAUUCUUCAGAAAAGUCAAUUCACCGCAGUAAGAUUUGGUGUUCAAAAUUCAUAAUAAGAAAAUUUAGUUUAGUUUUUUAUUUUAUUUUUUAAGCUAUGAAAAAUUAGUUUUUAAAUCAGGAAACUUUGGAAUAUAAAUAUAAAUAAAAAAGCCAUAGUUCAGAUUUUGUCUAUAUAUUUAAUAAAAGACAUAGUUCAGAUUUUAUUUAUAUUUUUAAUUACAUACAUGCAGAAGUCCUAAUGACCUUAGGAUAUGAUCUAUAGCCUGACUCGCAAUAACACACGCCACGCUAAAUUAAAAGUUUGAUACGAGCCGUGUGAACUAACUAUGAUUUAUUAUGACCACUAAAGUAUGAAAAUUAUGUUCCUUUCUAGCAAAUUUAAGCCGUUAAUCAUUCAAAAAAAAAAUUAAGCCGUAAAAUAGAAUGAAAAUAGCGUAGAAGAUAAUAAACGAAUAAUUGGCACGACGUUAAGCGUAACUUUACAUGGAAUGAUAGGGAGAAAAGUAGAUUUCACGUCAAUUAUUUAUAUUUUUUUCCUUUUUAUUUGCUUUGCUUUAGUGAUAAUUCACAUUAACUGGUAAUACACACCAUGUGAGAAAUGUUCAAAAAGGAACAGAGUAGGACAAGCUCGAAAGAUAAUUGUUUACCUGUCAUUUGUCUUGUCGCACUUUCUAAUUGUAUUUUGAGAACUCUAUUAUUAUUUUAUUAAAAACACUUAUCAUCUAAUUAGUCACUGUUAUAUUACCAAAAUUAGUUUAGUAAUAGACUAAUAGAAUAAGUCAAGGUAAUACGUCUUGUGCGCAAAAUUGAAAAUUCAAUCAAAAUGAUCUUUUCAAUUUAAAACGUCAGUCUCGUAAUUGUCUUUGUCCUACAAUUACAUUGCCACCAAAUGUAGUAGAUGUAAUGCAGGACAACUCGUUAAUAUUUUAUUUCUAUUUUACUUAUUUAAUUUUUAUAAUUCAACCACUAAUUACAACAAUAGAUUAUUCAAGUGAACGAAUCAAUUUAGAAUCAUUGAUUGAAAACUGCGAACGACACGGCCGGUUGAAACCUGAUCCACAAAUUGUCCCAAACAAUUAAUAUUUUGAACCAAUCUAUAAAAAUUAUUAAUGCCUUCGGGGGGAGACCAAUCAAUUUGAUUUCUCGUUUGAAUAAUGUAGAUCGGUUCAAAUUUCUUAGUUAAGAAAAUCAAUGAAAUUGGAUAAAAAUAAGAAACAAAUACUCCCUCCAGAUUUAUUUAGUUGUCGUUUUAAGGUUAUGCACACAGAUUAAGAAAAUAUUAAUUGUAUUAGUUUUUCAAUAUAAAAACAUCAUUAAUUAUUUAUUUAAACACAAUUUAACUAAUAAUAAAACAAAUUGCAUAAUAAAAAUAAUUAUAAAAAUUAAAAAACUAAUAAAUGUUACAUUAAAAACUGAAAACGACAAUUAAUUUAAAAUAAACAAAAUUUUCUAAAACGACAACUAAUAAAAAACGGAGGGAGUAAUAAUUUGUAACAAACUACAAAAUAAUGAUUAUAUAUAUAUAAUUUAGAUAACAAAUAAAUUUUUGUGUUCUUCAUCUUCAAUGAUGAUAAGAAAAUACGAAUAAAUUUAGGUUACUUCUUUUUUUAUGUGGGUAGCUUUGCAUCAUCCAUGUAUUACUCCAAUUAUUAAUUUUCAAUCGCUCUCAGUGCAAAAAGUAUGUAAAUAAAAAAGUAUUAACAGAAAAUAUCGAAUUGUUUUUCCUUUCUCUAAAGUACUGUCUAAUCAGUGACAAAAAAAUACAUAAGAUAGACGUUUAAAAAAAAUACACAAGAAAAAAAUAAAAAAAUUUAUGUGAUGCUCAACCCUAAAAUACUAAUGCAGGUGAUAUGUAUCUGAAAUUAGCAGCCUCUUAAAUUAAAAAAAAAUCUAGAUUUAAACAUUGAUAAAGACAAACUAACAUAUCAAACAAAAAACAAUUACACCACAACAAUCUAAAUCAAAUAAAAUAAAAAAGACUGAAAGAAGGUUGGCAAUAGGACCCACAAAACACACUGUCAGAAAAUCUUCAGAGUUUCAGAGAAGAAGAAGAAGAAAGAAAAAGAAGAAUCAAACAGUAGUAAAUCCCAGGAAUAUUAUAUUUUCUUACCAAAUCAAAAAACCUAUCUCUUCUUAUUCUUGUCUCUUCCAUUUCCAGAGAAUAUAGAUCCUAAACCAAACAUAUUCCCAGAAGGGACCAUGUUUAUAACCGGACUCACUCUAAUCCCUCCUCCAUGGCUUCCAUAACUGUAACCUCCGUAAUUUUUCUUCAAUGGCGGUUUCUGAAAGCUACUGUUACUCGAUGUAGAAGAAGAAGAUGAUGAUGAUGAUAAAGACGACGAUUGUUGUAGCUUUAUAUGCUCUGUUGUGUGUUUCCUCGAGCUCUGUUUCGGUUUACUCGACGUAGAACCGGUCGAAUUACUCCGGUUUAGUAACGGUAACGGACAUAGACUCCGUCCGUAACUACUUCCACAGUUUAAACUGCUGCUUCUCUUAAACCCCCAAAACGACUUCGUAUUGGGUUUCUCCUCCGUUACGGAGACGUCAUCGUCUUCUUCAACCGGUUUCCUCUGUUUCCUAAAAUCCGGUUUAGUCGGUUCGGUUGGACCGGUAUCGGGACCUUUCUGACCCGGAUUGCGUUUCUCGGGCGGUGGCGAUUCGGGUUUCUUCUUCUUCUUGAUUUCUGUUGGCAAGAUUUGUCCGUUACGGAAGAGUUCGUCGGCGGACCAAGAGCCUUGGUCGAAGCUUUCGGCGGAGUUUACGCCGCCGGGAAUGCAGAAAUCGAAAUCGAUGCUUGAAUUGAGACUGGACGGUUUCGAAUUCGACGAUCGUAAGGGACGUUUCUCGAUCGGAAUUGCAUCGGAUUGACAAAAGUCACGAGAAAAUGAGAUUCUUGGACUCAUAUUAGAAUUUUCCGAUAGAAGAUCCACCGCCAUUAUAGCAAAACGAACAAUUUCCGAAUUCUGAGAGAAAAGGAAGAGACUUUCUUGAAUAUUGAUAGAAAGAUAGAGAGACGUGGAGAGAUAUUUGGGGAAGAAGGUGAAGGUGGAACGAUAGGAAGGGUUAGAAUUUAAUUUAUAUUUUUUACAAGUGAAUUAAAUUUAAAUAAGUGUUUUGAUUUUGAUUUAAUAAAAUGGAAAAUAAAUAAAAAGAAUUUUCGGGUGAAAGAAAUUGAAAAAGUGAAAGGGAAGGAAUAAAUAAAGAAAUGCUAAUAGAAGAGGGGACAGAGAAGCGUGUCUCUUGCUACAUAUUCACAUGCAUGGGCCAAAAAAGGAUAUAUGUUGGUUCUUCACUUUGUACAAUUUUAUUUUCUAUGGUAUAAUUUUAUUUGAUGUAUAUCUUUUGAAAAUUCUUUUAAGAGAGGCUAUUUGGAUCAUUGAUCUGGGAAGAUAUGGAAUUUUUUAUAAAAUCCACUCUUAUUGGAUGUCCAAUAUUUCAAAAAGAUAAUGCAUUUCGGAAAUCUCUUCAUGUUAUAGGAUAUACCAUGUCAAAUUAUUUUACAAUAAUAUACAAUCUACCAUUAUUAUUUUGAAAGUUUAUAAACUAACAAAAAAAAAUCUAGGGUUAUUGAAUCAUUUCUAACUGUAAAUAAAGAGUCUGAAAUUUUUCAAAGAUUUGAAUAUAUGUACUUAUAGUUAUAUACUCAACCCCUUGAAAAUCUCUAGAAAAACUGACUUUUUUGGAGAUUUUUAGAAAUAAUAUUUCAAAUUUAUCAUUUUUUGUUGACUGAAUUAGGUUUACUGGGUACUAUAGAUGGGAGAUAUAGGUUUUUCCGACUCUGAUACAAUGAAAUAUAUUUUGAGACUAAAUUUUCUUUGAGUAUAUAUAGCUUCAAAAUAAGAAUGAUCAACUGAAGAUACCUUGAACAAAUGAAUGAAAAAAUGUAGUAUGUAUUUAUUUUUUAUGAUUCUCGAUGUUAACAAUGAUUUUGCUAAGUCUUUUGCGUAUGGGGAAGAUGCUUCUUUCAUCGAUCCUUCUGCUUUUAUAGCAUUCCAAAACUAAUUUCUCCGGUCAUUACAAGAAUUAAAUUCGUAUUAAUUCUUUCGAUUUAACCGUUCCCCUUUUUUAUUCUUCGGGCUUUGAACAAUUCUUGCUUUGCGAGGUAAUCAUCUUCUUUGUUUCUUUUGGUAUUUUUUUUUUUUAUUAGUCCACUGAAUUUGGAUGAUUUACUUUAAUUUAUUUGUGUAUUGUUCUCUCUAGGCUGUCAUGGAUCAGGUUCAUAGUGAAAUCCAACACUAAAAACAACGAUAUGAUCGAAAUUUUGAGAGCAGGUAGAAGAAUCUCUAAUAAUUUCAAAUAUAAAAUAAUCCACCAAAACUUUAACCUGGUUUGUAGCAAAUAAGUUUAGAGUGAGAUUAAUUCUCUAAUUGUGUGAGUUCACCACAGCCAAAAAAAACAAAAAAAAGAGCUACAUCCCCGUUAUGAACUUUUUUUCCUUCAGCAAAGGGGAAUCAAAUAAAAACGACUAACUUUUACAAAAAGAAAAAUACGGUUAAUACAAACACUACAAGAAAACAUUACAUAUUCCUACCAGAUAUUUCAUCAGAAAAUCGUAGGAAACCGGCUUUUCCUAUCAAUUUCCUACCAAAUAUUUUUGUAGGUUCUAUGCCGUCAGAAAUUUUCAAAGGUAGAAAAAUCGUAGGAAAUUUCCUACGAAAAUUUUGGUAGAAAAAUUUUGGCGGUAGGAUAUUCGUAAGGAAAAUACCUACCAAAUUACUUCCAUCUUUCUACGAAAUAUUCCUAUCAUUUUCCUACCACUUGAGAUUUUGUAAAAAAUAAAAUUAAUUUUAUAAAUUAAAAAAAUUAAAUUAAUUUCAGAAAUUAAAUUUAAACUAAAAGAUGAAUUAACUAUUAAUUCGAUUAUUAAUAUAUAUAUAUAUAUAUAAACAAAUUAAUUAAAAGAGAGAUGAAAAUCUUAUUUAUAGAAUAGCUUCAUCAUCCAAAUUGUCUCAGAUCAUCGAUGUGGGACAAAACCAAAGUUGAAAUGUUCCUACAAAAUUCCUACGAUUUUUUUACACAUAAUAUUUCGUCAGAAAUUAGUAGGAAAUUUCCUACGAAAUACUUACUAGUAUAAUGGUCAAUUGUAUCCUAUUACUUUCCUUUCAAAUUUUGACCGCGUGGUAAAUUAUUGGUAGAAAAUAUCCUACGAAAUUUCGACAUAAUUUUUGGUAGGAAAAUCCCUACCAAUUUCUUAUCACUUUUACUUUUUGUCAAAAUUACGUAGAAAAUUGGUUAUAAAAAUUUCUUACCAAAAAUUUCGUCAAAAUUUUCAUAGGAAUAUGAGAUGUUUUCUUGUAGUGAAACAAUUUAGCAGUACAAAUACUUGAAAUCUACAUAAACUUAGUCGGAUGUUAAAAACAAACAAGAAAAAUUUUUUAUGUAUAAUAUCUCAUACAAAAUACACUGCAUUUUUCUGAAAUGUCCUUCCAAAAUUGCACAUCGGUUUUUGAGUAAUUGGAGGAAAUAACAACAUGUUACUUACAUAAAAAAAUGUUUAGUUUUUGUCAUUUGACAAACUCGCUCUUGGUUUUUUUUAGCUCACAAAAAGAAAAUCAAAAGUUACAGAAAAUAUUUAGAUCGUAUCAAAACCCAAUCAAACCCAAAGUCAAUAAAAGUAAUCUAAAUCCAAUGAUAAGUCAAAAAACAUAUGUGCAAUGUUUGAAAUGUUUAGAGAGUCAACGUUGGGAUUCGUGUUGACUAAUGUGAUGAAGCAUUGAACAUAGACCAAUGGUGCCAAGUCACCGACCCGAGACUUUAACCAUACUAAAGUUUCGUCACGAACUCUAUCAAGUUAAAGAAGUGCAUUCACAUAUUUUAAACCAAAUCAAUGAUGCUUUUACUAUGGUGUACUAGGAAAUGCUACAUUUUAAAGUAUUCCUGAUGAACAAAUUUCAAACGAACACAUGUCUCGCUUCUACAUAUCCUUAUAUGUUGCUUGCGAUAACUAUAACCAAGUAAAAACAAAUAUAUUAGGUAAUCAGGUAUUCUAAAUGCUAGAAAGAUUAGUUGAAAUUUUAGCAAAAAAUGGUUAGAUGAUAGUAUAAUUCUUAUAAAGUAUAAGAAUAAUAAAAAGAAAAAACACGGUGGCAUUGUUGAUACUCCCCAAUCAAUACGAGCAGACACAUAUCAUAUAUAUAUCAAAAUUCAAGAAUAUAUAAGAUUUUAGGUUAGACCAUAACACAUAUGCGUUGUUAUCCACUUUUGUAAGUUGAAUAUGAAAUAUUUAUCUGGUAUCCUUUUACAAAAAAGAUUAAAAAAAAAAUGAAAUUCAUGUAUCUGAUCUAAGAUUUCGUUAUGUUUUUUUUUUUUCAUUGUCACGAUUGUAUCUUCAUUCCUUUUAAAUUUAGUGUCUACUUAGUUCCGUUGUAUACUUCUUAUACAUACCACUUGUAAAGCAGUGACAAAACCCUAAUUUCUAGUACUUAUAGUCGAAAGUAUACUUUUUCUUUUAAAACCAAAAAUUUCUGAGUCUAGACCCAUAAUAUUUUUGCCGGGAAUUAGACCAAGUUAAUUUAGUCUCUUUCCCACCGUCAAUUCUUUGAACCCAAAAAAAUGGGUUAGUUACCGAAGGCGGAUUAUAUUCAACAAUUAAUUCAAAUAUAGCUUCCUAUUUCAAGGAAAGAAAUAUUACUCAAAUAAAAUGAACUUCUGUGUAUUCUAACUAGAUGGGUCUUUAGUGAUAGAGAAGUCCAAACUCCUUCAUUUUAAUGAAUCAGACGAAUCAUAAGAGUUUGCUUUUAUAAAAAAAAAAAGAGCUUGCUUUUCAUCAAAAUAAAAAUCGAUUUUUGCUUAAAGUGAAAGUAAAGAAAUUGUUUGUGUGAUAGAAAGAAAAGAGAAAAGGAGAUUUCAUAUUAUCUAGAGAAUGAUAAGGAAAUUACAAAACAAUAUACACUUGUGAAUUAUAUAUGAAAACAGAAAAACAAAGUAAGCAUGGGCAUGGGUCCGAUGGCUACGUACUUACCGAAAACGAAGAAAGCCACUUAGAGAAACUGAAGGGUUGAUAAAUGGUCCACGUUUUCCCCUAAAUCCUUUCUUUUCAUAACCAUUGGGUCGCCCAUGAGCCCACCUAAAACCAACCCGACCCGAUUAGAUCCAACCAAGAAUUGUCUACUCUUCUUGAUCACUUUGCCUAUUUUGGCUGCUCUCGGUAAUAUUAACAAGAAGUUGUCCAAUUCGGUUAGGGUUUGGUUAUGAUGACAGAGAGUAAAAGAUGGUCCUGUCCGACAAAUAGCAUUGGUGCUGUUUUGCUAACAAGUACCGAACUGCUUUGUUCAGACCAAAAACAAAAAAUAAUCAAUCUGCUUUGUUCUCUACAGAAAUUGAUUAUAAAAGCUGAAAUGGUAAAAAAAAAAAAGUUGUUUCCCUUAAGUCAUGAAAAGAAGAAAUAUUGUUUUUGGUUCCGUUUGAUUUAUCAAUCAAUAUGGCCUGAAUCAAUAUGACCACUGAGAUAAUCAUCCAAAUCCAGAGAUAUGCAUGGUCGUCGCCCUCGUAUUAGAGAGGGUUGUGUGCAUGCUCAUAGGCUUACUUACAGUCCAAUUGACCUCACCAAAGUGAUAGAUUCCUUUCCCAAAAUCUUUUUGUGAAUAUGAAUAACAUAUUUCUUGAUGAUUUUUUUAUAGAUGCAACAGUAAAAAAUCUGUCGGAGGAUCUCUCGCCUACAUUUUAGUUUGCAUAAAAAAUGUGAAGUUUGGUUUACAUUUAAUGUAUACGAUUAUGGAUGUGGAUCUAUCGAUCUGUGUAUGUCAUUUUGAUGAUUCUUGGACGAGUGACGGUGCAACUAGUGGUUCUUGAUGGAUUAAUGGCACAUCCAGUUUAUUGGGUGAAAUCUCAACACCUUCAUCUUUAAACUCCAUAAAUGAUUUGGACAAUGAAAUGUCAACAACAUAAUCACGAUUUAUUUAUAUUUUGUGAAGGUUUUUAUAUGAUGACUUCUGCACCAAAGUUACAUGAAUUAGCCAUGAUUAUUAAGUUUUUAUCUAAAAGUUACAUGAAUUAGCCAUGAUUAUUAAGUUUUUAUCUAAAAGUUACAUGAAUUAGCCAUGAUUAUUAAGCUUUUAUCUAAAAGUUACAUGAAUUAGCCAUGAUUAUUAAGCUUUUAUCUAAAAGUUACAUGAAUUAGCCAGGAUUAUAAGUUUUUAUCUAAAAAUGAGUUAAUUCGUCAAUUACAUAUACAAACAACGUUUAGGCAGAUUUCGUUGCUUCAAUAAUUAAAACGUUUAAAUUCUAUUUCGUUGCUUCAAUAAUUUAAAACGUUUAUUCUCUUUAGUAACUUUAGUUGUGAUGCAUCGAACUUUGUUUGUAUAAUAAAGUUGCAUAUGCUUGUUGACACAAUAUUCUCAGUUUUCUAGCAUUGAUAAGCAUUUGUAGACGAUCAAAGAACCAUGUAGGAUACAAAUUAGUUGUCAAUAAUCUAAAAUACAAGUUAUAAUGACUUUGUACCUUACAAUCUUACACCACUUAUACAUUACAAUUCUGUUGGUCCAAACCACCUAAGAAAGAAAAAAAGAAAAGAUGAAGAUCGUUAUACCAAACAAAAAAAAACCCGCCAAUUUUCUAAAUUAACCCUUUUUAUUAGUAAAGUUUUCUAAAAAUCAACUUUUUUUUUGUCAACAACUAAAACCAAUCUUAGUCAAAUUUUUGAGUUAUCCAAAAGAAGUCGACAUUUUCGUUAGUUCCAAAAUAGCUCAAACUUUAGAGUUAUCUAAUUUUUUUGAUGAUACUACGUAACAAGUUUAACAUUCAAAAAUUACUCUAAUCGAAACAAACUUGAAAGAAAAAAACUGCUGUGGAAAUAAAUAAUACGCGUUAUCUUGAAAAAAAUAGGAAAACUAAACGCGCGAUUUGGUCAAUGUGGUCGUGGAUGGGUCACCUAAUCUUUUUAAUUUCCCUCUAAAAAAAGAAGAAAUAAAUUUUCUCCCAAUUUCCUCGAAGAAGAACAUUAGAAAAUAAAAUGUCAGGAACUGAAAAAAACUACGAAACCAAUCAGAUUCGGCCAUUUCUUUCCCUCUUUUCUUUUUUCUCCCAAUCACUCUUCAGAUUCCGAAAAAAAAAGCAAACAAAGAAAGAAAAAAUAGAUUCUUUAUCACCGGAGUUUUCACCGGACUCUUAAAAGAUGAAUACGCCGAACUGGGAACUCCGGAGUUGCUGUAACCGAAACCAGAACACGUUCCUCAUCACCAUCGGAAUCUUCACCGUCGUUAUCCUUGUGGUUAGUUUUUCCCAUCUAAUGUCCUUGAGAGAAAGAGUUUAAAGUUUUGACCUUUACUUGUUUUCUUCGAUUCAAAUUGAAGAUCCGACAAAUUUUUUUGUAAAAGUUAGUUUAAAGGGUAUCUCGAUUGUAGUGUUUUAUGCAACUGUUGACUUAUAAUUUCAUUCAAAGUUUGUGACUUUUGGCAUCAUAAAGUUUCUAUAUUUGUUCUUGUUUCUUAAGAUCUUCACAGAGAUUUCUUGGUUUUGUUUUUAACAGCUAUGGAGGACAUUUCUAUUGACUCCAUUUAAACUAAUCACGGUGUUUUUGCACGAAGCGAGUCAUGCUGUUGCUUGCAAGCUCACAUGUGGAGAUGUAAGGAAGCUCUCUCACUUCAACUACUACUUCAAUGAAACUAAAAAAGGUUACAAAACUGAUUUUAGGUGUAAACCCUUAAUUCAGUUUGUAAACUUGAAUUGUCCUUUUGAUUUGUUAAAUUAUACUGGUUGAUUUGUGAUCCACUUUGCGAGCAUAACAUCUCUUUAGAUAUGCACAUUUACCAGUCGAAAGGUUUGCUUUAGCAUUGAUGUCUCUGCAUUUUCUCUGGACAUGACUGUUUAGCAUAGAGUGGAUUUUAGCAUCUUGAUUCAGUUUGCAAACAUAAACCGUCUGCUUCGAUAUGGAAAAAUACACUUGGAACUCAGACUAAUUUUAGGUUCCUUGAAAGUUUAAAUGCGGUCGGGGUUCGCUUUGAAUAGGCAGAGAAGAUGUUUUUGUUAUCAUCCACUACUCGCAUGGCUUUCUUUAGCAACAAUACCUUGUGUAGAUUGCUUUAGCAAUGUUUGUCUUUGGAUAUGGCUGUUUAGCACGAUCGUAAAGUUGGCAUCUUGAUGUCGAGUUACGAUAUCCUUAUUUAUUGUGCCAUUCGCUAUAUUCCUCAUUUGGUAAACAUUGUUUUAUCCUCACUUGUAUAUGAUUCUCGCUCUAUUGCUAAUAUGUAAACUACUAAUAUACGAAUAUACGUCAUUAGUCUAAGAAGCCAAGACACACAGUUAGCUCAAACCUUAGCUUUAGGUCGACCGUAGCGUAGGACUAAAUGUUAACAGAUUAUAGCUGGCUGCUGGUCUGAGUUUGUGAGAAAGCAGUUAGUGAAAGCGAAAUCUGUAAAGAUGUCUCUGCAGAUUGUUAAGGCUGUAGAAUUUAUAGAAUUUGAUUGGGAUUCCGGAUGAAAGCCUUUUCAUUAAUAAGUUUCUCUAGUUGGUGAGUGUUAUAAGAAUAGCAGUGUACAGCUUAGCUCUUAUCAUAGUUCCAAUAAUGCAGAAAAGAUAGUAGAUAAGUUACACCGCUCAGCCCAAAAAAAAUCUUUGAUUAUGUAUUGAUUGCACAUUAUUUUCAUCAAAUGCGUGCAACAUUCUCUAUGUUAAUCUGCAACUUCAUUUUUUCAGUUUGCACUUUGCACAGUCGCAUAUAAUAUGGAUAUUGUGUGCCUAAAAACAAAUGUGGCUAAUUUUUGUUUGAACUUAAUCUUCUUCGUAUUGAAUCAAAAAGGUGGAGGGGAUGGAGGUGAAUGCAAAUGAAGGAGGUUCCACAACAACACGUGGCGGCAUCUAUUGGCUGAUCUUACCUGCUGGCUGUAAUAUACAAUCUGUCUAUCUCCCUUAAACAAAUCAACCAUUUUCAAAUUUGGACCUUCCAUUGUUGAUGGCUAAAAGUGUUACAUAUAUAUUUGUUGUAAUGGUUAUAGAUCUUGGCUCAUCAUUUUGGGGAAUGGCUUUGAUUCUUGCAUCUACUAAUCUGCUUACAGCAAGAAUAGCUGCUGCUGGUCUCGGUCUUGCUUUAUUCAUCGUCCUCUUCAUUGCCAAAAACGUAAGUAGAAUUCAUUUUUAUCUCAUUGAGGCAUUGACAUCAAACCAAUGACAUCCAAAUUUUCAACCUUGACAGUGGACGCUUCGAGGUCUUUGUAUAGGUGUGCUAUCUCACGGUUCUUCUUGUUAAAUUUUUCAUUUUUUAGUUCUCAAAAUGAUAGUUGACAAAAAGAUUCUAACAAUCAGUGAAAAAGUCUCUCAGGUUUCAUAGUUUUCCUCGCUAUCAUAUGGGUUCUACAAGAGUUAACUACAGUAAAAAUUCUCCGUUAUGUCAUUCUGUUCAUCGGUAAAUGAACCUCAUUUUGUUCAGUCUUGUUAACAUGUUUGAGUUUCAUCUUCUCCGUAUGAAAGCCAGAUUCUUGAUAUUGCAGGUGUGAUGAAUAGCUUAUUCUCAGUUUACGGUAUGUGUUUCCUUUUCUCUCCCAAUAACUUCACUUAAAGUUAUGAACUUAUGAACAAGAAAGAAGCCUCAUUUGGUUUUGUUCUGCAAUGGCUAUUAGAUAUCUACGAUGAUCUGAUAUCGCGAAGAGUCCAUUCAAGUGAUGCUGAGAAGUUUGCAGAGAUCUGUCCUUGCUGUACUGGUUGUGGCUGGGGUGUCAUAUGGUGAGACUUUAAUCCAAUUUUACACACAAAAAACAACAAAUCUUUGUUUUUUCUUUGUUUCUGACCAAAAAUGGUUUUGAUUUUUCAGGGGAAUGAUAUCUUUUGCGUUUCUUUGCGCAUCAUUGUAUCUUGGGCUAGUGAUCCUAUCAUAAAAAGGUGUUCUUUUGGUUUUGGCUUUCUUGUUUUUUGUUAAGCACAUUUUUGCUUUUGAAUUUUGAUUAAGCGUUUUCAUGAUUUUUGUGAAUUUUUGGUGUCUCUCAGGUUUCAAAUUCUUUCCAGUGAACUGCGGAGUCUCCUUUCUUUCAUCUAUGCGCAGUUUUUUAACAGAAAACAUUUUUUUGAUUAAAAAGCUUGAUUCUUUAGAUCCCUUUGAUGUAUUUACAUUUGAUUGAAAGUUUAGGGUUUAUCAUUUUUUUUUUAUUCAUUUUGGAGUUUGUGUUGAAUAGAAUUCAUUGAUUGUUCUGUUUUAAUGCAUUGUAAGUCCGUUGAUCUUGUCAUCAAAACAAAACUCCGUCGACUUAUUCCUGUAAAUGGUCAUAGUAUCCUCGAUUAGACUUCGUCCUUUCUUCCAAAUUGAUACUUAAACACCAAAAUCUAUUAUAUAAAGACUCAGCUGAGUCUCACAAACUUGACACAUCAGCUUUCGAAAAAAAUAAUUUUCUCAAUUCCAAAAAAAUCUAAUUUAUCAGCCAUGACACAAGUACAAAUCUAGUUUCUAUCUAGAAAAGUCAUUCUCUUACAAUAAAAAGGAAAUGCAUUGAAUUUAUAGUGUUAUUACUUUGUAAACGACACCCGAGAAAAUUGAACGAGGCUAAAAUAAAUUCAUUUUUAUAAAAUGGAGCGGCAUUCCACCUAUUUUUCAUUUUUCUCUUACGCGCUUAAAAAGCUCCAGAAAUCAGGUAUAGCGCAACUGCAGUCACGUUCAUAACCAACAUUAGAAAAGAAUUAAGGUCUUGAAAUAACAUAUCCAAAAUGCAUAUUUCUUGUGUUAAUUUUGUUUUAGUGAUUGUGGUUUUUAGUGUUUCAGAUCAGAAAGGCGAUCAAAUACAUGGAUAUAAUCACUCUACUCUACGUGUCUACGAGGAGGAAAUGAUAACCAAUCCUUCUCUCAUAGAAAGAGAGCUAGGAUCAAGCUGUAUGUAGUGUAAUUACACACUAUAUAUAUAUAUAUAUAUAUUCAUUCCUAUUUUAUGUAUAUAUAUAAGAAAAACUUUAUGUGCCAUUAAAAAAAUUAUUUCUUGUUUCCAUAUUAAUUUAGAGUUUUAUAUGAUGUUUUUUGUUGUUCGCAAAACAUUGAAAAAACCAUAAAUAGUUUGUUUAUUGCAUGCAUGAAAAAUUAUGAUAUCUUUGUAUGCGUAAUGCUCUGGUGCCUAACAAUAUUAUUAGGUUUAGAGCAGAUGAUAUAACAAACGAAGUUGAAGUUUUAGAGGCAUUUUGUCUUCUGUUCAAUUUCUGUUUAUAGUUUUCGUACAUCUUAUAUAUAUACAUAAAACUGACAUAUAGUGAAUGCUUAACUCAAUCUAAAAUCAGUUAUAAAAUUUUCUUACGUAGCGCCUUAUUUCUCUGUCACAUAGACAAAAUUCUUUGUGUAUCAGGAGAAUGUAAUGCCCAAAUUUUAUCAUAUUUACUUUAUUGACGUCCGAACUUUAUAUUUUUAUAACAAAAAAUGAAUAUUUAGAAAGAAAUUAUUGUUUUUAAUAUUUAUUACCCUAAGCAGAACUCAAAGGAUUUGAGAUGAGAUUUAAAGCUAAGCUGAAACAAACAAACGCAAUAUUUUGUAUUUUAUUGUGUGUCUUUGAGUGUACGUAUUUUGUUAAUUUUAUUUCAUUAGUAAAAAAAACAGAAAAUAUAUAAUAAACAGACAGAUAUAUGUCUUAUUUUAAAGAGAUAACAAUAGAAAGUGAUUUGCGAUUACGUAAUUCUAUCAUGAUCUAGAAAAUUUAAAUUCGCACAUAUAUAUGUAUAUAUAUUAUUGAUCAACUUAACUAUUAUAUAUAUAUAAAUUACCGCGUGUACACGCGAAGUUUUAUCUAGUUAUUGUAAUAGUUGUGUACAAAAUAUCAUGGUGUAGAAAAUAAUUGUUGUAGUUAAAAAUUCAAUAAAAAAAAUAAUCAAAUUCUAUUAUAUGGAGGAAAAAUUUCAUAUUUUGUACUCUUAUUAAAUUUCAUAAUAUUUAAAAGUAAAUUUCCAUUUUUCUUCAAAAUUACAGCGAAUAAAUCCUAACUUUUUUUGUUUGAUAGAUAAGCAAUCUUUUUUGUCUGAUGGUAUAAAGAGGUAUAUCGUUUGGAAUCUUCCGAGGUUCAUCUUGCAUUAUCUUGGUUCAUCUUCCAAUAUAUCUAUUGGUUUGUAGAUUAGGUUGAAGAAAAUGAGAAAAAUUUGUAGUAAAACCUUUCUUUGAAUAUUUCUGUUAUAACGAAUGCGAAAAAAUGAAGUUAUAAACAUAAGGAACACAACACAGAUUUAACGUGGUUUACCAACGAUGUGUUGGUUACUUCCACGAACAAAAAAACCUAUUUAUUAAGGGAGGCAAAAGGUUCAGAAAACUCUGAUGAAGGUUCUGAAUCAUAAUCGGAAUACAUCAGAAUCGGAAUACAUCAGAAUUAGGUAUCACAUAGGUAUUAUAACUACCUAGUUAACCCUAAUCAUUUUUGGACCUGUCGUUCACGCCUAUGUAACGUCCUUAAGCUGAUAGCUUCGACCCAUUACUCAAACCGACAAUCUGCAGUAAGCUUCGUAGCUUACACCUCAUCUGAAAACAACUCCGCAGCUUACACAAUCUGUAACCAACAUCUUCUACAGUUUGCUAUGUAGCUUGCACCUUCCAGAGGUCACACUUUCCGCAAGUCGCACCUUAUGGAAGUCGCACCUUACGCAAGUCGCACCUUACGCAAGUCGCACCUUACGCAAGUCGUACCUUCUGCAGGUACCUUCUGCAAGUUGCACAAUCUACAUUAUGCUCUGUAGGUCCGCACCUUCUGCAACUUGCACCUCUCACAGUCUCAGAUUUAAGGCACAUUAACAAAUCUCCACCUUGUCUUGAAUCGUCCAAACAGAUGUACCAGAUGCACUUUUACAGUGCCAGAUGUACCGAAUUUUUCAUUUGCCUCACACGUUUGAUAACACCUAAUUUUGACAUAUUUUCACCAUUGAUUUCAAAUGCUUUUUCAAAGGUUUUAAUCAGUUUUAGGAAUUUUUAUUAUGAUUUCCAUGUAUUUAUAGUUUCAAGACUUUUUUCAGGAAACUUAGGGAAAAUGAUGGCAAAAUGGAAGAAAUCCACUUUUUAAAGCUCAGAGUCAGACCGUCAGAAGUUCAGCCUCAAAUGAAGACUUUUUCAACGUCUGAUCUAGUUCAAAUUUGGAGACAAUCAAGAGGAGACAACCAGAUUUCCAUAGCACUUUACAUCACAAAGAUUCAAUUGUGCAAUCAAAAGAUACAUGGAGAACAAGCUGACCCAGUUUACCAGUCCUGGAAGACUCUCACCCGCGGCAAAAUCAUGUUUUACCUGCCCUGGAAGACUCUCACCCCCGGUGUACCUUAGGACGAGCCACAAGGCCCAACAUCAAAGCCCACUUCGCCAUUCCUCUUUAGAGAAGCCCUAAAUGAGACCUGGAAAAACUUAGGACCUAUAAAUACAUUGUUUAGCGGCUCCAAACAGGUGUGUGCUCCUGUAAUGAGAUUUUGAGCCACCAAAAUCUGUUUCUCUAGGGUUAGGCGAUGGAGAUGGGGAUUCUUCCCCAGAUCCAUUGUUCUUUCUCCUUUCAAUUCUACUAACUUUUCUGUUUCACUCUUUUGCAUUUUUCUAUGUCUUUUAUUAUUCCUUGCAUCAUGUAGAUCUGUCCCAGAGAGUCAAGUUGUUUUAAGAGUCAUCGAUGAUCAUAUAUAUCGAUUAGGAUUUCUAUAGUUCUAAACCAUAUUCUGGAUCUCAUCUCUUCUAAGUUGUUCAUAUUGCAUGAGAGUAGAUUCAUGACCUAUUUUCUGAGCCUAGGAUCGAUCAGAGCCAUGAGAGUGUUGUAUCAGAUCAUCCAUACCUAGCUUCAGAAGAACAUAGUCGCUAUAGGAGUCGAAAGCUACCCAUAGAGAAGAUGUGAGCAGACGAAUUCAAUGUCUAAUGCAUGAUCUUAUUUCUGUCAUGAGAGCGAGAGUUAAUUGUCAUAUCUAAGUGAUUAGUUGAUUAAGAUGACGAGAAUUAGUUAAUCAUACAUAUGUCUAUUGUAGUUCCAUGCAGAUUCCUAGAAACAGAUGAAGAUAAAUCGCCCGGAAGCUAAUUGUAAAUGCCACCAUACAUCGAUUAUAGUAAAUCGGAGAAGUCUAAAUUGCACCCUAUGAGUUUAAGAGUAUUUAGUUUGAGUCGAUAUGCUUGAGAUAUGCUUGAGAUAUUCUUUUAACAAUUCAUCAUGCAUUGCAUUUUAUCUCUUGUGAAUAUUAGAUUAGGUUUAGUUUAGGACUUUUAACUAAAAACCCCAAAACGUUUAUUGGUUUAUGAUUUUGCUUACUUCCCAGUUUGUUGUUUCUUGCAGAUUAGACAUUCUCCCUAUGGAUCGACACCCUAAGUUCUACAAUCUGUGCACUUUCAGAUUUUAGGGUUUUAUAAAUUUAAAACUUUCUUUAUGGACCAAUGAGCUUGUAUGAAAAACAACCCUAGGCCCGUAGCUCAUCAAAGUUUUUGGCGGCGUUGCCAGGGAGGUUCUUAGUCGCUGGAGGUCUAAACCUAGGAGGUUGAAGCCACAAAAGACAAUAUAUAUGUCGAGUUUCUGCCAAAAAAUCAUAGGAAGUAAACCAAACUCAUAAACACCCUAACUUUUUUUUUUUCUGCUUAUUCUCUCUUCUGUUUGCCCUAGUUUCAGAAAUCUUUGAAGCAUGGAUCAUCCAAGAAGAAAUCCUAACCCUGAUCGAAGGUUUUGCAACUUGUGUGAAGCUCCCUACGCAUGUGAAUCACCUUCCAGGCGUGAUUCCAAUCAUCCAGUUCGGCCAGAUCAUCCGAACCACCACCAUGGAAACUCGCGACCUCUACACCAUCGAGAUGAGCCCUUCACCUGGUGAAUCGUCGACCAUCUCAUCCUCUUUCUCAUCAGAUUAUGCACCAGAACUAUGAGGAUAAUCUGUUUAAAAUCCUGCUAAAUCGAUUGGAAGCCAAGCUGAAUCAGUUCCUUGCCUCCCAAGCCAUCAUCGAUGCUGCCCUGCGAACAAGGAUAGAUGACAUGACCGUCGACCUUAACAAAAGGUUUGAUGACCUCUCUGAGCAUGUGAAGAUACUGGAGAUCAGAUAAUCAAAGAUAAUGACGUGUCGAACCAGAGAAUGGAGUCUGUCGAAGAAGAGCAGGACAAAAACAAGUUCAACAUUCGACAAAAUGAAAGGGAGCUGCAAACCCUAACUUUCAAGAUCGAUGACUUGGAUAAGGAACUGAAUGAGAGCAAAAACCAGACCUACGACUACACAUUGGAGCUGUGGCAGGGCGUAGCUAAGGUUGAAAACAAGACAGAAGAGCUUGAUGCUACUCUAGACAAAGUUGUCUAUGCUGUAGAUGAAGUAGAAGAGAAAGUUGAAAAACUUUCUAAAGAUCAUAAGGAGUAUGAUCUGAACUCUAGAAUCAAUGAUUUGGAUACCCAAGACGUGCCUAACAACCACUGGAAGCAAGAGAACAAUAAUGGAGAAGAAGAGAUUUAAGAAGAAAGCAUAGAGAGCCGGAGGAAGCUGACCGCGGCUGCGAGUACUUCACCCGCGGCCAGAGCCACUUCCACCGCGACUCCAAGCUCCUCACCCGCGGUAGAGCAUGAUUUCUCAGAUUAGGAGAACUUCCAACCUCUUUCUGAAACCUGUUCAACUGCAGACCAACCCCUUGUGACCAGAUCUAGGUUGUUUGAUCAAGUUGUCUUCUCAAUCACUGCACAAGCAUCAAAAGAAAAGGAAGAAUCCAACACUUAUGAAUCUUGCAACAUAGUUUACACUUGUGACAAUGAGCUUCAAGAGCAAUUCUCAGAAGAUGAAGAGUAUGGUUUGUUUGUUGAAGAUCCAAACUAUGGGGACAAUUCAUCUAAUGACAACUCAGAACCAAUUACCAAGAGCAUAUCCAGAGAGAGACUGAUUGAAUUCAACAAUUUUGUGAAGUCCAUUCCUCUCUACCAUGGUUUCGACGACAUCUGGAAGCAAGGCUGCCUUCAAGUUUUUUUUUCAGAUAUAGCAAGAAGACUAAGGAGAACGUCUACACUUAUUUCAGAAGAGCCAGGUAUCUAUCUUUUCCUAGAUCAUCACCUGAUGCAGCUGUUUACAUGAUCCAUCUCAAAGAUCCCCACGAAGCCAUUGACUACACAAACAAGAUCAACAAAGAAGCACUUGAAGAGUCAAUCAAGUAGUUCAAAGCCUCCUAGAAGGAAUUUCAUUUGCCAAAGCAUGUAGAGACUACAUGAUCGGCCACUUCUUCUAUGACAGCAAAGAUUCUAUUCAAGAGAUGAAAGACUUGUUCACACACGCCCAAGAAGGUAGACCAUUUCGAAAUCUGCACAAAGUUCAAGACAAAGGUCAAUUUCUUAUAUCUUGUGAUAUUAGAGGUGAAAGAUUUCUCAAUAUUCUUUGUGAUUCUGGAGCUUGCAUUAACAUGAUGUCCAAAGCAACUGCUUUGAGACUUGGCAUUAAGCACAUUUCAAAUACCAUGACAAAGAUUAGCUUAGCAGAUGGUUCAAGUGCAACACCAAGAGGGAUAUCCCGAGAUAUUCCUCUAAGGAUUGGAGAUUGCAUUGCACCUGUCGAUCUAUACAUAGUGAAGACCAAAGAUGACUCUUAUCCACUUAUCCUUGGAUGGUCUUUCUUAGCAACUGCUGGAGCCAUCAUGGAUUGGCCCAACAGGAGAUUUUAUUUUGCAAAUAUCGACAAGGAUAUCUUCUAUCAAGCUACACCACUUAAGAGCAAAGGAGAAAAGCAGAAAGCCUAGGCCUUUGAACCAGAAGAAAUCUGGAGUGAUGAAGAACCUGCAAGACAGAAGAGAAGGAUUUCGAAAAGGACUUGUCUUAGGACAAGAUCCUAUUUGAGCUAAGUCUUUUUCUUUUGCAAGUGUAGCUAAGGACUAUAAACCAAAGCGCUUGAUGGGAGGCAACCCAUUUAGCUACUUAUUUGCUUCUGUUUAUCUUUCUUUUUCUAUUAAAGUUUUGGUUUUUUUAUUUUAGACAGGCCUUAGUAUGCCACAAAAAAAGGAAGAAAAAGAAGAAAGAGAGCUGACCGCAGCCAAAGGAGGUUCAACCGCAGCCAGCAAGCAUUUUGCCGUGGCCACGAAGCUUUGAACCGCGGCCAGCACCACUCGGCCACCCUUGGCCAUUUCCACCUCUACCUUGAUUCAAAUCCAUCCAAGUUGGAUCAAGCACCACUUCACAUCAUCCACCAUCCACCAUUCAAUAUCCUACCACCUCCACAACCACCUCAUAAUCCAUCACCACACCAGGUAAGUUUUCUUUUCCUUAAUCUUUUUAAAUUUUUUCACAUACUCUAUUUCUCAUCCUUGCCUGAUUUAUUUCAUACUGGGGACAGUGUGAUUUAAGUAUGGGGGAGGAUUUCAUCCCUUUCUAACCACUUUUUCUUGCAUGAGCCUUUGCAUUCUGCAUUUUUCUUUAAAAUUUUUCAAUUUUUUUUUCGAUUUUUCACAAAACUUUUCAAAAUUCUUUUGAGUUUCAAAAAGUGUUUUCAAAGGUCAAAUACAUUUUAAGGGAAUAAUGACAAAAUCGAUGAUGAUAACCAACCUGUUUGCUUCUACACCAAUGAUUCAUAAAAAGCUCUUUCAAGGUUUAGUAUUAGACUUGGCGGUAGCUGGAGUACUUACACUACGAAAUCCUACCAGAAGACUUCUAUUCAUGAAGAUAUUUUCUAACAGGAUAUUCUAGCUCAUCUUACUUGGACUUAAUCUUGACAUCUAAUUUUCUCAUCAAUGGUUUUAAGAAGGCAUCAUGAUAUACAUCUAGGACAUCUUUAUCUUAUUGUUACCACUCUUUGUUGUCCUAGAUGGCCAGUUCAUCUUUAGCUGGUACCUCACCUUUAACCCAAACCUUUAUGUUCUAACCUCAUGCAUUCUCUCUUAAGUAUAUAUUGACAGAUAUGUGCAAAAACGCCGUAGAGGGAGGAACAACAUAGUUUUCAGUCAUUCAUGAGAAAAACUGAAAAAGACCAGAAGGGAGUGUGCCAGAAAUCUUAUGAUUCCUCAGAAAAGCUCAUUCUUAUAAGUAAAUUUCAUGCUUUUUAAGAUUAAGUCAAAAGGCAGUUUCCCCUUUCCCAAAAAAAAAACAAAAAAAAAAAGAAGGAAAGGAAAGAAAACCAAAAGCCUAAAGAGUCUUAGAAGCCGAAAUCAUUUGAGCCAAGGCAAUAGGUAUCCACCUAAGGAGUUAUGGAUUCACAACCUAGACAAAAAAUCCAAGUCUGGGGGAACUAUAAGGAGAACCUGAAGAAAGGAGAUCAGAAAUCUUAAAGCAAAGAGAAUGUGACUGAAACAGUGGGGGCAUUUACAGUUCCAUCCUCUCUUGCUGUUUUGCAUAAUGUCUUGUCUCUCCAGAAAAAGGUAACCCUAAACACAUCAAACCUUACCAUUAAAAAGCCUUUUUGAUACCUAACCUUGAAUGCCUUGUUUGAUAUCCUUUUGAUGAGAAUCACUGAAACCUUUAAUAAAUGUUAAGAGCUAGGUGACUGGAAGUUAGUUCUAAGUGUGUGGAUUUUUGCAUGACGGAUUAACAGACUAGUUAUGUUUGUAUUUUGGUGAGAAUUUUCUAGACUUGAUCUGAUUGACGCAUUGUCCAUAAUUAAGGUCUAGAAGUAUGGUUGCUGAUAUUUUUGAGUUCCCUCUCACUUUUGUUGAAUGAUAUUUUUCCAGAUUUGAUCUUGUUUUGUUUGAGGACAAACAAAGUCUUAAGUCAAGGGGGGGGGGGGUUGAUACCACACCUGAUUUUGACCCAUUUUCACCAUUGAUUUCAAUGCUUUUUCAAAGAUUUUAAUCAUUUUUAGUAAUUUUUAUUAUGAUUUCCAUGUAUCUGUAGUUUAAAGGUUCUUUUCAGGAAACUUACGGAAAAUGAUGGAAAAAUGGAAGAAAUCUACUUUUUUAAGCUCAGAGUCAGACCGUCAGAAGUUCAGCCUCAAAUGAAGACUUUUUCAACGUCUGAUCUAGUUCAAAUUUGGAGACAAUCAAGAGGAGACAACCAGAUUUCCAUAGCACUUUACAUCACAAAGAUUCAAUUGUGCAAUCAAAAGAUACAUGGAGAACAAGCUGACCCAGUUUACCGGUCCUGGAAGACUCUCACCCGCGGCAAAAUCAUGUUUUACCUGCCCUGGAAGACUCUCACCCCCGGUGUACCUUAGGACGAGCCACAAGGCCCAACAUCAAAGCCCACUUCGCCAUUCCUCUUCAGAGAAGCCCUAAAUGAGAUCUGGAAGACCUUAGGACCUAUAAAUACAUUGUUUAGCAGCCCCAAACAAGUGUGUGCUCCUGUAAUGAGAUUUUGAGCCACCAAGCUAUGUGUUAGGCGAUGGAGAUGGGGAUUCUUCCCCAGAUCCAUUGUUCUUUCUCCUUUCUAUUCUACUAACUUUUCUGUUUCAUUCUUUUGCUUUUUUCUAUGUCUUUUAUUAUUCCUUGCAUCAUGUAGAUCUGUCCCAGAUAGUCAAGUUGUUUUAAGAGUCAUCGAUGAGCAUAUAUAUCGAUUAGGAUUUCUAUAGUUCUAAACCAUAUUCUGUAUCUCAUCUCUUCUAAGUUGUUCAUAUUUCAUGAGAGUAGAUUCAUGACCUAUUUUCUGAGCUUAGGAUCGAUCAGAGCCACGAGAGUGUUGUAUCAGAUCAUCCAUACCUAGCUUCAGAAGAACAUAGUCGCUAUAGGAGUCGAAAGCUACCUAUAUAGAAGAUGAGAGCAGACGAAUUCAAUGUCUAAUGCAUGAUCUUAUUUCUGUCAUGAGAGCGAGAGUUAAUUGUCAGAUCUAAGUGAUUAGUUGAUUAAGAUGGCGAGAAUUGGUUAAUCAUACAUAUGUCUAUUCUAGUUUCAUGCAGAUUCCCAGAAAAAGAUGAAGAUAAAUCGCCCGGAAGCUAAUUGGAAAUGCCACCAUACAUCGAUUAGAGUAAACCGGAGAAGUCUAAAUCGCACCCUAUGAGUUUAAGAGUCUUUAGUUUGAGUCGAUAUGCUUGAGAUAUUCUUUUAACAAUUCAUCCUGCAUUGCAUUUUAUCUCUUGUGAAUAUUAAAUUAGGUUUAGUUUAGGACUUUUAACCAAAAACCCCAACACGUUUAUUGGUUUAUGACUUUGCUUACGUUCCAGUUUGUUGUUUCUUGCAGAUUAGACAUCCUCUCUGUGGAUCGACACCCUAAGUUCUACAAUGUACAUCUGUGCACUUUCAGAUUUUAGGGUUUUAUACAUUUAAAUCUUCCUUUAUGGACCAAUGGGCUUGGAUGAAAAACAACCCUAGGCCUGUAGCUCAUCAACGUUCCAAAAUGCACUUUACCGUGCCGGAUGUACCAGACGUCCCUUGUAUCAGAUGUACCUGAUGCACGCUUGCCAGAUGUACCAGAAUUCCCUUCUAUCAGAUGUACUAAACGCACCAAUAUUAUGCCAGAUGUACCAGAUGCACUCUUACUGUGCUAGAUCUACUUGGUGUUAAGUAGAACAGGUGUCUCUACAGACCAGACGUCCCUUUGGACCAGAUGUUCCGUCGGACCAGACUCCACUGCGGACUAGAUGUUAUUUCAGACCAUACGCCUCUUCGGAUCGGACAUUGUUUCGGAAUAGACGUCCUUUCAGACCAGACGCCUUUUACCAGGCUCAUAUACUCCUCCAGAGCCAGAUGCCUUUCACUGGGCUCAGAUGCUCCUUCGAGCCAAACAACCCUCACCGGGUUCAGACGUUCCUUCAAGCCAAACGUCCCUUCGGACCUGUAGUGUAUGAUCCACCAUAUCUUCGAAGCCAUAUAUCUCUGUGGAUCCAACCUCAUUCCUUGUAAGCUGAUCAUGACAUGUACUACGGUGAAUAUUCUCAGAUGGUGUCAGUUCUGACAGAUCAAUUUCUGUCUGUAGCUCUUGAAUCUCUUCGUGUAGCUCAGAAUCAGUCUCGUCACGAUAUAUAUACAAAUCCACCUGCAUCUGUAACUCCACCUGCUUGUCAAAGCUACUGUUCUCUGUAGCAGCUGUGGUUAAAGGUUCAUCUUGGAACCUUCUUUCUGAAUCAACAUUAGAGAACAUGCACUUCGUUCUCCGCAGCAGCAUCUGAUUCAUCUGCUCAGAUACACCAUUCGGUUGUGAUGUAUCCGUAACUGCAUGAUGUUGGACAACUCCUUCAUCCUUGCAUAGCUGAUUGAGCUCUAAUGAACAGAAUUUCUCACCUUCCUCUGACAGAAUUUGCACCUUCUUUUCACCUAUACGACCAAAGCUCUUAUGCCACAGCUUUGUUAUAUCUUUGUGGUGAAUUUCUGAAGAUGCAACAUUCACAGAACCUGUAGCUGUGGAACCUCCACCCAUACCCUUGUGCCCUCCUCUGCUGCAGGUGAAAUCACCUUCAUCAUCCUCAUUUUCAUUCAAUGGAGCCGCAAAUCUCUAUGACAGAUAACAUCUUCAACUUUCUUUUUCAAUUUUAUCGAAAAAUGUGAGAUUAGACGCAUAUAGAAUGGGAACCAUCUCUAUAAAAACAAUAGAUUUUUUUUAUGAAGAGAUAUCUGAUGUCCAAUAUAAUUUGUUGUUAUAAUUUGUAUCUAGUUUUUUUGUUAUCAAAAUGAAUGUUCAGAUGAGAAUAUUGUAAAUUAAUUCUUAUCAUGAUAUUUUGAAUAGCAUAUGAUUUUGAUUAAUAUUAAUUAAAAUCAUUAAAUUGAAACUAUAUAAUAUUGAUAAGAACUUUAAAAUUAAUUAUCUAAUGAUACAUAAUUUUAGUUAAAUUUUAAAAUCACUUAAAAUGCAUAAACUAACAGUACCCAACUCAAUAUAUCUUGGUGAAAAGGUUCUUAUGUAAAAGUCUAAUUAUAUAAAAAUUAUAGUAAGGAAAAAGAAUGUGCGUUCUUUCAAAAAAAAAAAAAAAAAAAAAAAAGAAGAAUGUGCAGUGAGCAAUCAUAUAUUCCCUUUAAAUAGUCUCAGUACUGUCAUUUUGAGUUUACCCUCUGUCUCCCCUAUUUUUUAUAUUUACAGUUUUUUAAUAUUAGGUUUUUACUAAAAUAAAAAUUUCACAUCGUGAUUUAUCAGAUGGAUCCUAUCCAUUUCUCAAUUUAAUAAAUAAUAUUUCUUAAAACUUUUCUUGUCUUACUAUAUUCUCAGCAUUUUGUAACACUAAAUAUUUAAAAUGCAAUAUUUAUAUCUUUUUGGACUUUACAUUGAUAUAUAUAAACUUUCGAAUAUUAUUAUGUUAGAUACACAAUUUCUAACCAGAGAGGAAUUUACAUAGUAAAUAAAAUGAUAUUUAUCAUAUUUUUGUAAUUCUAUUAGAAUUAUCUACAUUUUUAUAUGUGUAAAGCUCAUAUAAUUGGUUUUGCAUUCUUAAUGAAAGUUUGUUAAUAGAACUAAUAUAAUUAUAUCAUGGAAGAAAAACUAAUAGAAUUUAUUUUUAAAAAAUGAUAUCAAUCUAUCAAUUUUAUUGGGCACUAAAACAUUUAGGGUCCUGCCAUUGACCAAUACUGUCUACCUCCCAUAUAUCUACCAUUAAGCCAAUACAAUUAUUUAAACACUUUUGUAGAGAAUUUUUUUCUACAUUUGAUAUUUAUAGAAAGACCUAAAAAGAAAUAAAAUCUAUACUUUAUCAAUAAUAUAAUUCUGAAAGGUCGUUUUGAGAUAUAUGUGAUAUAAUAUUAUAAUAUUUAAUUUAUAUAUGAUAUCUAAACUUUACCAAAUACUAAAGUUUUAUAUUUUGAUUAGUCUACAUUGAGAUUACAUAUUGUUUCAUUAAAAUAUUUUAUUUUUAUUUUAUGCUAAAUUUAUAAUCAAUAUUAGAGCAUUUAUUACUUGGUCAUAGGUUUUACUAGAGUUGAAUUUCAUAAAAUAUUAAAUUUGGUCAAAUUAAAAACAUUUGACUCAUUUAGAAUAUGUAAAGAGUAGCGAGCCAAAAGAAGUUGAACUUCUCAAAUAUAAAUUAAAUUUUCAAGCGCAAAGCUCAUGGUACAAUCAAGAAUCUGAAUAACUUUUGAAUGGCCACAUUAUUGUAUAUGAAUUACAUACAUGUAUAUGUAUGAUAGAAUAUAUAUAUAUAUAUAUGUUUUCUUGGUAGUGAAUGAGAGGAGGAAAAAAAAUAAGAGGAGAAACAAUGAGAAAAAGAAAAGUUCAUAAAAACAAAAAUCACAAAAUCAUAAAGUUUUUUCAUUCUUAUUGUUCUGCUCUUAUAUUUUUUUCCUGUCUCUCAUUCACCACCAAAAAAACACAUAUAUAUAUAUAUAUAUUUAUGUAUUUUUGUGUAGCAUUUGACCAUGCCAAUCCGAAAUGCUAAACAAAAAUAUAAUUUAUUUUUCCAGAUUACAGGCCAAGAGAUAGUAUGGAGAUAUAUAGAAGGCGAUGGUAUGAGGGUUACAAAAAUAUUCAGACUAUUAACUCAGAUUAAAAAUUCUGUGAGAAGAAAAUUCAGAUAUGAUUCCAGAAUUAUUUGUUGAGAAUCAAUCCAAAGUUCCACAUCGGAAGUUUAGACUAAUAUGGUCUAAUAUAUAAGUAAUGUCCAACUCUAAUUAGUAUGAGGUCUUUUGGGAAGGAGCCCAAAAUCAAAUCCGUGUGGGCUUUGUCAGUUGGGCCCAAAGCAAACAAUAUCAUACUAAUUGAAAAAGUUGGACAUGCGUUUUUCAAGCCCAAUAUUAUUCAGGUGAAAAUUUUCAUCACUAUUUUCAGAAUGAUAGGCUAAAGUGUAAGAGACAUUUUAUUAUUAUUGUAUCUCAAAAAACGUGGAAAUGUUACAUAAGCCUUUAACAGUCUUUUUAAAAAAAAAGCUAUAUUCAAGAUAUUUAGUUUUUUUUUUAAAUAAUAUAUAUAUAUAUAUAUAUAUAUAUACACAUAUAUAUGAUAUUUAAACUCUAUAAAUAAGAGUUUGAUAUUUCUAGUCCAGAUAAAGUAACGUUAUAAUGCUGCCCAAAAAAUAAUACUACAAAUAAUUAUUUUCUAUUAAAUUUACAUUAUAGCAUUUUUUUUUAUAACAUCUAUUUUAUUAGAUAGUAAAAAAGUAAUACAUCAUGUUUACAAGCCAUUUUGGCAAAGAUUGAAAAACAUAAUACAUAGCAUGAAAACAACAAUACAUAAAAUUAAAAACACAAAGCACUAAAUCAAAGAAGAUGAGUUUAAACGAUUUUUUUCUUCGAAUUUUUCUCGCUGAAAAAGUGUCCACACCUUCUUUCCUCGUAAUCGCAUUUGAUCUAAAGCGAUUUUUUUUUUUGCUAUGAUCCAUCUUUUCUCCUGUUGUAUGUUAUUGACACAUUUCCAAGUAAGAACUAAAAAUAUUCUAUGAAUAAGAAUCCAAUCUUUUGAUUCUUUCCAUAGAAAAAAUACUUGAAAUUGCCAAUUUUCUACGACUGUACGUAUGUCGCCAUACCACAAGGAGUUUUCAUCUUCCGCUCCAAACCCUUGUCCCCUCCAUGGUGGUUUCCAUGUUUGUUGUUCCCAUAGUAAUGCCAUAUCCGGCUGAAUAGAAUCAUCGAAGAAGAUCAAACAUAAAACCCAAAUUCGCCAAUCAUCGUUUCCAUGACUCCUAACUUCUCCUAUUCCCGGAUCAAAAACCCAAAUUACAUCUCCAAACCAUACAGUGGAGGAUAAUAAAAACUGCUGUGAGUGUUGAUUUAAUCUUGGAUCAAUUUGAGUAAAUUGGUUCAAGAAAGAAUUAAAAUCCCAACCAAAGACUUGACGAAUUAUAGCAUUUAUUAUUUGGUCAUAGGUGUUACUAUAGAUGAAUUUAAUGGAAAUGUUAUUUUUGGUCAAAUCAAAAUUAUUUAAUAUUUAUAAUAUGUAAAAAUUUGAUCCAAAAGAAGUUAAAACAUAAAUAGAAUCUCAAACCACAUGAUACAAACAAGAAUCUGAAAAAAAGUUUGGAAUCUCCAAUAUGAUAUACAUUUGCAUUAUUAAAAAAAAAUGGCACUCAUUGUUCUUCUCUCAAUGCUUUUUUUUGUUUCCUUCUCUCAUUCACCACCACGAAAACACACACACAUAUAUAUAUAUAUAUAUAUAUAAAUAUAUAUAUAUGUCAUGCAUUAUCAUUUAUCAUCUCAUCGAUCUAACUCAUGCACUCAGGAUCAUCAUCAAAAUGAUCUUCUCCCUCCAUAGCCUCUCUUGGAUUUCCGGCUUCCAUAUUCUGUUUUCCGCAGGGCUCCAUCACAUUAUGUUUCUGACUUGUCGACACUAGAUUCAUAGAAAGUGAUUGAUCAUGGUUGGUGUCAGGGGUUGAGUCCAUCAGGGUAUUAAAGGCAGAGUCAUGUCCAAUACACCUCGUCGAAAAAAGAAUAUCUUCCUUAGAAGAGCCAAAAUUUCGAACCAACAGUCAAUAUCCAUCUCAUUGACGUCAAUGUCAAAAUAAAUCAGCUCUUCGAUCGGAACAUCAUUAUCUUCCACAUAAGGAACCAAAGCCAUAUCUUCCAUAUUAGUUUCAAGGGAUUGGGUUUUAUUGGUUUCAAAAGAAGCAUGUCUUCAAGAAGAAGAAAACUUUCUUCAGAAAACAACCAAUCUAUCUGGUCUGUAUUGGUUUCGAAAAUGGUGGUCGUAUUGGUUUGAGAAGAGGUUUCAUAACUUGUUUGACCAGAAGCAAAACCGACAUGGGAAAUGACAUUUUGAGAAAGAACAUGAUUUUCUCCAGAAGAAACCAUACCCAUCUGGUUACUGAUUUCAGAGGGAAUCAUAUUUUCAGAAGCAACAUAGCCUUCUACUGAAGAAAUAUUGGUUUCAGGAACAUUUAUGUUCAUAUCAGUUUGAGGAAGAACAUAAUUUUCUAGGGUAGGAAUCCAAUCCAUCUGGUUCAUAUUGGUUUCAGAUGACUAAUGUUUUCUGUUGAUGGAACACAACCUAUUUGGUUUAUAUUGGUUUCAUGAUCGCGAAUAUUAUCGGUUGAUGGACUCCAACUUAUCUGGUCCAUAUUGGUUUCUAAAGUGUUCAUGGUAAAGUCUAGAUCUGGAAGAAAAUAACUUUCUCCCAUAAUGCACAGAUCAGCUUGAGGAACAUAAGGCUCUGGUAUAUAAAUAAAGUCUAGAUCUAGUUGGUUCCAAUCGAUUUCAAGAACAGAUGAGCUAGGUUGAAAUGGGUUAGGUUCAGACUGAGGAAUACAAAUCCCGGAAGACUCCAUCUGGAAUGCAUCUGUGUUAGAUGCACCAACACUUGAUGACAAACCAUAAAGAACAGGAGGGUUAUCACUACUUAAGCCACUAUGGUUAGAUGCACCAACACUUGAUGACAAACCAGAAAGGACAGGAGGAUUAUCACUUAAGCCACUAUGGUUAGAUUCUCCAACACUUGAUAGCAAACCAGAAAGGACAGGAGGAUUAUCACUACUUAAGAUAAUAUGGUUAACAUCAUGGAUAGAAAAAAUAUGGGAAGGUGGGUUGUUACUUGUGGCUGAAGGAGCGUAAUUGACUUCCAUAGGUGACUUGUUUAAUAGGUUACCAAAAAGUGAGUGUUUACUCAGAUCCAAUUUUCCACCUAGAUGAAACUUGGGCACCAUCUUCGCUUUGCCCUUUUCAGCAGAUUUUUUGAAUGAAUCUGCAUACAAGAAAAACAAAAAACAUUAUUGACACAAAGAUGUUGAAUUGUGAAAAGUAUAUAUAUAGUAAAAGAACAUGACUUGCAUUGGUCGAUGGAUCAGGAGGAUGCUUCCUUCUUUUUCAGAGAAUACCACUUUGUGUUACUUUCAACGAUAUUCUUUGCUAAGUUGGAUGCAUUGAAAGGAUAUUCAUAGUCUGAAGGGUAGUUGAAUGUCUUAUCUGUUGACCUCCAUUCAUUCCUCGACAACGAAUGGUUCAUUAGCUUAACUUGUGCUUUGUAUUUCUGAAACAAUUAAUUAUAGAAUAAAACAGGUUAUCAUAAGGCUAGUAAAAUUAUAUAUUGAAAAAGAGUGUAUAUAAAUGUAUAUAUGAACCUGAAGGUGGCUACCGACUUGGCAAAGAUUCAAGUCUGAGUCAUUCAUAAUGCUCAAUAUGGAUUUAGGACAAGAAUCUGUAGGAUAAAGAACUGUAAUCAAUUGGUAGAAAGAAGAAUUGGUCAAAACAAAAAAAAUCUUACCUUUUGCACCCAAUAUGGAUAUAGCUGUUAAAAAUAUCAUUUGGCGCUCCUGGAGUCAAUACAUUGCAUCGUCUUCCAAUAUUACUCUCCAUAUUUAUUCCUUCCUCUCUCUUGUUCUCAGCCUCAGUGGGAUAAACCGGUUUAGUUUUUCCUUCAUCAAUUGCUUUGCCUUUUCUCUUUUGGUAUGUUUCAGGGGUUGUAAAUGUUUUGACGAAGGGUCGUCUUCCUAACAAAGAUGACUGACUUGUUCUCUGCCUCUUUAUGGUUUCUCUAAGAGAUUCAAUCUGAUUUAGUAUAUUUUUCUCCACAACUUUCUCUUGUUGUUCAGCGAUGUUGAUUUUCUUUAACUCUUGGCUCUUCUUAGGUACCACAUGCUGCCAUAGGUUUUCGAUGUCGUUUUCAGAAAUCGGCUUCGUUAGACAAAAACGUGCACUUUUUGUCAAAAGAUCUGAUGUUUCCUUGGUAUUUAUUUCUGGACUUAUCACUUUAACAUCAAAAAAAUAGAUAAAUUAAUCUGUGGAAGAAAGUAACAAACAGUGUAAAGAGUAAGCGCAAGAAGAAUGUGUAAAUGUUUGCUUACGUAUAAGAGGAAUUUUUUUGUGAAGCAAAGCAGUGAGAAAGGAAUGUGAAUCUAUAUGAGGCAUUUCAAUGUUGGCUAUCACAAGUCCAGUAUCCUUUUGCUUUUCGAUCAUCGAUAAAGCCUCACUUGCCUUGUUCAAGCUCAUCACUAGUACAUCAAUUUAUAUAUUAAAUAUUUACAAAAUCCAAAAAAAAACAUUGUUCAAAACAAUAAUCAAGUUUCUUCCAUUUUAGUUUUAGUUAUAUAAAAAAGUUGAAAAAACAAUAGAUUAACACGCACAUUUUCGAUUAUAUAUGAUGAUUAGCUAACCUAAUACAUAAUAUAUUAUUUAUAUACAUAUUAAUAUUUGAAAGAAAUUUUUUGGGCUAGAACCAGACAUCUAACAAUCUGAUUAUCCGAUUAAAAUAUAGAAUAUAUGUAUUAAAACUCAACAAUUAUACAUCUAGGGUAUUCAAUAAAAAAUUAAUAAAAAAUUAGAGUUCAAAUAUUUUAUUAAAUUCUUUCUUAUCGAUUUUUAUUUAUUUACAAAAAAAUAUUUUAAAAGAGAAAUUUAUAUGCGUAUUAUCAAUUAUAUUUGAUGAUCGACUAAUCUAAUACAUAAUACAUUAUAUAUAUAUAUAUAAAUAUUUGAAAACUUUUUCCAGCUAAUACCAAACAUUCGAAAUCAUGUUAAGAAAUCAUUUCUAAAUAACAUCAGUUAUCAAAAUCUCAUAUAUAUUCCACAAAAUAUAGAUUAUACUAAAAUUUAAUGGUUUUUACAAAAUAGUAUCCAAUAUCUAUGACAUAUUAUUAUCCAAACUAAUAAUCGUAGGUGAUUAGGAUUUUCAACAAAAGGGUUGUAAGAAAAUCAUCUUCAAAACUGAGAUCCAAGACCAAUCAGUAGCCUAUAGCUUUAAUAUUCUGUAAAUUAAAUUAUAAAUUAUAAUUUUCUAUGCGAAUUCACAUUUCUUCAAAUUUGUUCAGAGAUCCUGAUUUAUACAAUGUAGAAAUCUCAAGAUCUAGAGACGUUGAAUUAUAAUCAUCAGGAAAAUAUUCAGCAAAUGCUAAAAUUUACCAUACCAAAUGUAACAAAUUAGAAUAAUACCGUUGAUAUGUAAAUGGAAAAAUGAUCAACAUCAAUAUAAAUGGUAAACAAUUUUUUUUUACCUUUAUACGAAAAUUGCUUAAGCAUUGAAGUGAGAAAUUCAAUUGAUGUAGUGUCAUUAUCGAUUAGCAGAACUGAAAUAUCACCAAUGCGUUCAGGAACUAUGUUUCCAGCCAAAUUUACGGUCAACUUUUCAGUCAUAUUUUCAAAAAUAUAUGAUAUGAAGGUUUGAAAUAAUAACCGAGUUAAGGGGAAAUAAGCUAUUGCAUGGACGUAUAUAAAAGAAAGAAUAGAAAUUGUAGACCCAACAAGGUCAUAAAUUGCAAACAACACCAGAUGAAGAAAACUAUUUUAAUUUCUAUCAAAUAUAUUUCAUUUCAUCAUUGACCCUACCUAUAAUAUAUUUUUUUAACUCUAAAAAUAUACCCAGUCUAAAGUAUAAUCUAUUAGUUUAUAUAAUUCAAAAUCUUAUCAAACACAUGGUAAAUGAUAUUAUAGCAUUGGUAGUGAUAAAUAUAAUUAUUUUGGGAAUAUUAUAGUGUUUCUUGACCGAUAUAAUUUGAGAAUUUACACGAUAGUCAUCGACUUAAAAAUCCAUAUAUAGUUAGUUGUUAUUUCAUUUAUAAAUUUUGACUAGAAAUAUACAAUUAGUUCAUUUUUUAUACAAUGUUUUAGAAAAUGAUUAAUUAAUUAACAAAAAGUAAACAUAGAAAAUUUUUGUAUAUGCAUAAAAGAUUUUUCAUAGAAAAAUUUGGUGGAAUUAUGUUUUCUCUUUUUUCUUAUAAUUAGAUAAUAUUUUUAUUUCAGUCAGGAAAAAAUGUAGCUACAGAUGUGUUUUAGAUUUAUGGAAGCGUAAAAUAUUCUUAAUAUGUAAAGUAAUAUAAGUUCUCUAUAUAUUACACAAAAUAUAAUUCAAAUUUUGUUAAUAGUUUUGAUAUCAAAAGUUAUUCAUGCAUGCGUUUUACAAUUCGAUCCUUACCUUAUUUCGAGUACAAUAGGCAUGUGACUGGUCAAGUUUUUAAACUCUUAAGUAACUUCCAUAAUUACGUAGAAACUCAAAAAAAUUCAAGAAUAGAAUAAGGUUCAUCUUUUUAUAAAUGUUUAAUUUGAAACGUAUGCUAACACUUUAAAAUAAAGUAUUGAUAAUUAUAUGUUGUGAUGUUGUGUAAUGUAUAACUAAUGCUCGUUUAGUAGUGAACUCGUGAUCAAUGAUGGACUCCAGCUACAAGUUUGUUUUCCUUCCGAUCUGUUCACUACACUACAAGAAAGAAGACCUUUUAUAUUGGAAGAUAUCGACGUAAAAUCGACGUAAUGGGCCAUUUACGUCAAAUUAGUGACGAAUGAAAAAUUAUCGUAAAACAAUCAUCGUAAAAGAGAAAUCGUCGUAAAAUCUUCGUAAAUUACCAACACAAUAAAAUCGUCAGAAACAAUUCGUCGCAAAAACGACGUAAACGUUCCAACGAAAGUACGACGAAUUAAUUUUAACACAACAACGACGUAAAAUCGAUGUAAAAUUACAUCGGAUUUACAACAAUUUCGAGACGAUCUAUUUCGCAAAAGUCAAAUAAAUUUAUUAUAGAUCGACGUAAAAUCGUCGUAAUAUAUCGACGUAAAGUCGACAAAAAGUAUAUGGACGUUUUAAAAUAUUUGCCUUUAAUUAGACGUAAAUUUACGACGAGUUUACGUCGAAUUAGAAAAAUAAUUAUUAAAAUUGGAUUUUAAUUUAAUUAUUGAAUUUUUAAAAUAAUCAAAUAAAGGAAAAUUUAAAUUUAAAUUCGAAAAUAAUUCAUAAAUUAAAAUACAAAAUUAAAUACAAUUUAAAAAAAAUAAAAACUAAUCUACACAGUAAAUUCAUAAUCGUCGAGGUUGAGAUCGACGUCUCGAGGAGGCUCUCCGUCAUGUCCGUCCGUCGCUGUUGUACCAUCGUUUCCCGUCUGCACUACGGGAUCCGAAGUCUGACCCUGCGUCUGCUGGUCAGAAGGUCCACCCGCAAUAAUCCUGUGUGCUCGCCGUUGCCUCUCUCGAAAGUGGAUCGUGAAUAUUUCUAAUCCGUUUUUGAAGUCUUCAGUCAAUGACCCAUCAACAUUUUUGGGCGUAUACAUCCACUUUCGUAGAUCGUAUAUAGACAUUUAAAAACAAAUAAAUGACUUUUUGUUUUUGAAUUUUGAUAUAAAUUUCAACUACUAAAAAUUUUACUCAAACAUUCAAAGACUCAAAAAAUUGUGUCUUUAUAUGUUUUUUUGGUUGAUGGAAUAAUGAGAGAAGAAAUGGUAUAUAUAGAUUUUUUGUUUGGUUACCAACAUAUUGCCAUUGAAUAUUAACAUCAAAUUUACGUCGAAAUAAAAUUUACAUUAUAUUUACAUCGAUAUUACGUCAACUACAAGAUGGAGGCCAAUUCAUCGUAUUAUCGAUGUAAAAUUUACGACAAUGUUACGACGAAAUGUAAUUCGUUCUUUAUUCGUCAUAAUGUUGUCGUAAGUUUAUGACGAUUUUACGAGAAUACUAUUUUAUAUCGAAACGACGAAAUAUUUUGACGUCGUACGUAAUUUCGUCGUAAAUUUACUACGACCAUAAAUCGACGUAAAAAAUUCGUUGGAAAUGUCCCUCUUUCUUGUACUAUACAAGGAUUCAUAAAUAAUGAAGCUGUUUUGUUCGGUGAGUGCAUUAAUGUGAGUUAUACAAAAUUUACAUUGGUUACAAAAUUAGGAGACCAUCUCCAUCGGUUUGUUAGGUAAUUUAGAUAAUAAUAAAAAUUAAGAAAUGAUUAAAAAGUUAACAAUUCGGGUUGUUAGGUUGUUGUGGAAGAACCCAGGAAUAUAUAAAAACGUGGCACCAUGUCAUUGGUGGAAGAUUUUUUAUGUGUGUGGGCUAAAAAUCAGGAAUAAGCCCACAUAAAAAUUCUUAAUUUUUUUAAUUAAAAAUUCAUAAUUAAAAAAAUUUUAAGAAACCCAAUCCCAGGUUUAGGGAUGGAGAUGUUUUGCGUGAGUACAUUUUCUCUUUCUUAUAUAAAGUGGAUCCACCAUAACUCCUAAACUAAAUGAGACACACGAUGAGGCCGCAUACAGUGUGGAGAAGGUACACAAAUUCCGCAUUAUCGUUAUAAAAGCUAUGCGAAGUCUUUAAAAAUUAUCUACCGUUCUAAUAACUAACUAAAGUAAUCACGAGAAAUAGUAGUUGGAUAACAAGAUUUUUUUUGUCUUUCUGCUAAGGGCGAAAAAAGUAAUGUAACCUGAGCUCUUUUGCAUCUCUUCUCCGGCGAUGCCGACAGCGUCGGUCUCAUCCUCUUCUCCUCAUGGGGUAGAAAAAACAACCCAAAAAAUCUCCACCAUCCAAACCCUUGUGCCCUCCUCUGCCGCAGGUGAAAUAACCUUCACCAUCUUUGUUUUCACUCAAUGAAGCCGCAAAUCCCUUUGCUCACUCAGUGGCGGGGGAUCCUUCGUCUCUAGCACAGCAAAUCCUUACUGAUUCUGAUUCUCUAGCCUCGACUGACAGCAACUCUCGCUCAGAUCCAAUUGUGAUAGUUCCUGCAACAGUCCAAGCCCCCAAAUAUCAUUUAUGUAAAAGUUGUUGAGACAACAGAUCCAGAACUGAAGAACUCAUCAGUAGAGGCACCAAUUGUCCCGACAAUCCCUGCCUCUGAAUCUGUUUCCGUGAAAUAGUCUUUGGCUGCAGUUCCGGAAAUCCUAAAAAGUUCAAAACCCACUGUGAGUGAUUUGUGGUCAGGAUUAUUCAAAGGUGCUACGAAGCAACUGCAGAAGAAAGGCACAACUUUUACCUUCCCAUCCGAUGAAGCUUAUGUGAAGAUUCUCAAAUAUGUAAUCGAAAAGAACAAAAAAUCCUGGGAAAGUUUCAUCUGUGGGCAAUUAUACACAGAUACGCCCUCCCAGAAAACUGUUCAUAACAUCGUGAAUGGAAUUUGGAGUAAGCAUUUCUGUGAUAUUACAGUAUCAAAGAUAGAGGGCAAUACCUACCUUUUUCAGGAUACCAAAUCCUUCCACUCGACAAUGGGUUUUAACUCAGAGAUUAUGGCAGAUAGAAGGUAAAACGAUGUUUGUCACGAAUUAGGAGUCUGGCUUUGUUCCAUUGAAGCCCGAGCUCUCGUUGUCCCCUAUUUUGCUGAACUAAGAAAUGUUCCUCUACAGUUCUUCAAUGAAGACGGCUUUGAACACAUUGCGGGAUUUGUUGGAGAGCCAAAAUGUCUCCAGCCUAUAACUGCAAACAAGACAAAUCUGUAAGUAACGAAGGUAUUCACGAUAACUGAUCCUCGUAAACCUCUUUCAGAAGUUGUCAAUAUCCAAUUUGAUUCUGGAGAGAUCAAUAGAGUUUUAGUGUCCAGUCUGUGGAUGCCACCACUGUUUUAGUUCUGUAAGAGGUGAAUCAUCAUCUGAGGCAGUGCAAUGAAGCUCCAAUCUUUUGCAAGAAGUGCAACUCAAAAAUUCACGUGGAAGAGAAUUAUGCAAGAACCGUCCUACCUGAACAAAAUAAUCCAAACUCCCAUAGAAACAGAGCCAAGGGAUUAGCUGGAAAUACUUAGAAGUGGGUUAAAGUUGCUGAGAAAUCAUCUGCCAAAUCUGUCAAGUUUACUGAGUCUUCACUGGGGAAAGAAAACAAAUCUUCAAAGGGAGAGUUCAGUGGCGCUGUGGUCUGGUACAUCUUCAAGGGAAGAUCGACGAAAAUGUUAAAGGUCCUCCUAUCCCUGACACAAAAAAAUCAUCAGGAGUGGAAUCAGAUUCUUCGGACGUUGCUUUUGUGGACUUCAGCAAUGUUGUAAACCUGCAGGGUGAGCAGAGUGAGUUCGCAGAGGUAGUUUCAAAAAAGAAGAAGAAGGAUAAGAGGGACAAGAGCCCCAACAAAAGCAGCUUAAUAAAUGGUUGAAGAAAAACAAACCGUUUUAUGAGAGUAUUAUAGAAACCCAUGUGAAACAGCCUAAAUGUAGGAAUUUCAUUAAUAGAUCGCUUCCCGGCUGGUCUUUUGAACAGAAUUAUGAUUUCUCCAUUUAACAAGUGUAAAGGCUGUUGUGGUGGCUAAGUCUUUGCAGAUGAUCACCUACAAAGUUAUGUUUCCUGAUGUGCAGCAGUGGGUUAUUUUGUCAGUGAUGUAUGUUUCUACAGUUGAGACUCUGAAAAAGGAUCUUUGGGCAGAGCUGAUUGUUUUGUCUUCAAGCCAGACUGUUGAAGAAAAAGAAUGGAUGGUCAUUGAGGAAUUUAAUCAAGUUCUCCAUCUACAUGAGCAUUCAAGAGCUAUUACUCUUAAUGUGGAUAGGAGGACAAGAGAAUUCAGGCAGUGUUUGUUGUCGGCUGAGGUGUCAGAUUUGAACUACUGAGGAAACACAUUUACUUGGUGGAAUAAAUGUAGUGCCAGGCCAACUGUGAAGAAGUUGGACCACAUUCUUGUAAAUGAGGUUUGAUCUACUUUUUUCCCCUCUUCAUAUGCAAUAUGUGGAGAGCAUGGUUUUUCAGACUAUGCUUCUUGUGUUGUCGUCUUGGAGUUGGGUUCUCAAAGGCAGAGGAGACCUUUUAAAUUCUACAAAUUUUGCCUCCAGAACCAAGACUUUUACCCUCUGGUUUGUGAACAUUGGUUCUCAUGUAACAUGGUGGAAUCAGCAAUGUUAUGUCUCUCAAGGAAGCUUAAGCUUCUGAAAAAUGUCAUAUGUAGAUUCAGUAGAGAUAAUUUCUAGGAUUCAGAGAAAAGAGUUAUUGAAGCUCAUGAGAAGCUUUUGCUUUGCCAGUCUUAGACUCUAACUGAUCUGUCUCGAACAAAUGCAAAACUGGCGUUUGAAGCACAAAGAAAGUGGCAGAUCCUGGCAAGUGCUGAAGAGUCCCUUUUCUGCCAGAGAUCAAGUGUAACCUGACUUAAAGAAGGUGAUUGUAACACUUCUUAUUAUCACAGAAUGACUGCAUCUAGGAAAGCCAUAAAUCACAUUCACUUCCUUAUUGCACCAGAUGGAGAACAUUUUGAAUAUCAAACAGGAGUUUAAGAGCAUUGUGUUGAUUAUUUCUCACACUUUAUGGGUUGUGAGGUUGGUCCCCAGAUGCUGAUCUAGUCGGAUAUGGAGCUCCUCCUUCCAUUUUGAUGCUCUCAGGCCCAAAAAGAGAGUAUGAUAAAGAGCUUCUCGAAGGAGGAAAUCAAACACCUGCUUUUCUCAUUGCCAAAAAACAAAACCAGUGGACCUAAUGGGUAUUCCGCUGAGUUUUUCACCUGUUACUGGAGUAUUGUAGGGCUGAGGUAUGUGAGGCAGUUGAAGAAUUCUUCCGAUUUGGAAAGCUGCUUCAGCAAUGGAACACUACAACUUUGAUCCUCAUUCUCAAUAUCACAAACGCCUCUUCAACAUCUGAUUUCAGGCCAAUAUCCUGUCUCAACACUAUUUACAAAGUCAUAUUCAAGUUAUUGGCAACCAGAUUUCAGAAGAUCCUGUCUCAGGUAAUAUAUCCCUCUUAAUAGGUUUUCAUGCCAGGUAGGCUGCUUGCAGAAAACGUUCUACUGGCUACGAAAAUUAUGCAUGGCUAUAACUGGAGGAACAUCGAUUCCAGAGCAAUGCUUAAGGUGGAUCUUAGAAAGGCAUUUGAUUCAGUAAGAUGGGACUUUGUCCUCUUGACCUUAAAAGCGUUGGAGUUAUCAGAAAUAUUUGUUAAAUGUAUCAGUCAGUGCAUCACAACUCCCUCGUUUACAAUUUCAGUUAAUGAUAUCACCAGAUGCUACUUCAAAAGCGCAAAAGGAUUAAGGCAAAAAGACCCUCUCUCUCCUUACCAUUUUUCCUUGCAACGGAGGCCUUCUCAGGAUUUUCCACUCUAGAUUUGAGGCUGGGUAUAUCCAUUACCAUCCCAAGACGGCAGAACGGAACAUAUCUCACCUGAUAUUUGCAGAGGACGUGAUGAUUUUUUUUAUGGUGGGAGUUCAUCGUUACACAGCAUAACUGAAGGAUUAGAAAACUUUGCGUCUUGGUCAGGAUUGCACAUGAACAGAGACAAGACUCAACUAUUUCAGGCAUGAGUAAACCACAUUGAAUCCACUGCAAUGGCAAGCUAUGAAUUCACUGUAGGUUCACUAUCAAUCCAAUACUUGGGUCUUCCCCUUAUGCAUCGUAAACUGAGACUCUCUAAGUAUGACCUCCUUUUGGAGAAGCUUGCUAAUAUAUUCAGAUCUUGGGCUGUUACAACCCUCUCAUUCCCAGGGAGAGCUCAGCUGAUUGCUUCAGUGAUAUUAGGAACCGUCAACUUCUAGAUUUCCACGUUUAUGCUCCCCAAAGGUUGUAUUAAAAAUUGAAUCUCUGUGUGCUAGGUUAUUGUGGUCUGGUAGUAUUGUGACAAGAUGAGGAGUAAAAGUAGCAUGGUUUACUGUGUGUUUGCCUAACUCUGAAGGAGGUCUGGGCCUGAGAAAAUUUUCUGUGUGGAACAAGACGCUAUGUCUGCGGUUCAUUUGGUUACUAUGCUCUGAAAGUGGAUAUCUCUAGGCUGAAUGGCAUAUCAGAGCUUCUGGUUGGUGGAGGCAUAUUCAGCUGAUUCAUGGACGUGGAAAUCUCUAUUGGAUCUUAGACCAUUGGCUGAAAUGCUCUUAGGAAAUCUGUUGGAAAUGGACGAAAAACAAAUUUUUGGUUGGAUUUUUGGACACCUCUUGGUCCACUAAUUAAACUUCUGGGUAAUGAUGGCCCGAGAAAUAUCAGGCUCCGUCUUUCUGCUAUAGUCGCAGAUACAUGCACAAUGGAGACUUGGAGAAUCCCAUCGCCAAGAUCUGUAGCACAGCUGAGUCUCCAUAUGCACCUAACGACUAUCAACUUACCUUCUUCCUCUCAGAUCGAAGAUGACUGUUUUUGGUUGGAAAAUGGUGUUAAGUGCAGCCAGUAUUCCUCCUCUAAGACUUAGGAUGAUCUAAGGCCACAACAAGGUGAAACAGUGGUCUAAGCUUGUAUGCUUUAAAGAUUGUGUUUCGAGGCAGGCUUUCAAUAUAUGGAUUGCACACUUGAAUAGGCUCCCCACUAGAGCCAGAAUAGCUUUUAGAGGAACAAAUAUAUUCACAGAUUGUUGUCUUUGUUCCAGAGACGAGGAAACGAGAGAUCAUUUGUUGUUCAGUUGUGCUUAUAGCUCGGAAAUCGGAAAUCUGGAGGCUGAUACUUACAAGGUUAGACCAUACCCAGAGUCUGUUCAUCUUGUGGUCGGAGUUGUUAUCAUGGAUAAGUAUGCGUUCUGAUGCUGCCCCUUAUACCUGAAAGGUGGUGGCUCAGGCUAUGGUUUACCACAUUUGGAUGUCAAAGAAACAAUUUGCUGCACAACUAAUAAAGGAUUCCUGCAUCCAGCAUUUUCAAGUCCAUUGAUCGUGUGACUCGAAACACCAUUACUACGAGAAGACAAAGACGUUGCUUUAGCAACUUUAAUGUCUCUUUGGCUUCAAUGAAACAAUAUAAAAUCUAAUUUACUGUGUAUUGUUCUCCUUGUUUUUUAUUUCUUUUUUGCCAAGGAAGUUUUGUAACAGGUUAGCAUCUUUUAUAACCUUCUUUUCAUUUUAAUGAUAUUAACAUUCAUAGCAAAAAAAAAAAAAAAAGAAAUGGUACUUGCAAUGUUUUACACCAUGUUUGUGUUUUAAAAAUAUUUCACACUACAUAUUCAAAGUUAUAAUGCAGGAUACAAUUUGUUUCUAGUCGAAAAGGUCAAAAAUAUCCAAAUUUUUUAUGUGGUGUUUUCAAGAAUUAUGCUUUUAAGAGAAUUUAAGAAAAUCGGACUAUUCUAUCGAGAUACUAUAACUUAUUCAACAGAAUAUCUAAAGCAUUUGUUCUGAAAGCAAGAAUUCUAGAUGCUCUUCUCCCCAUUUGUUUUUGGUCGAAUGCCACAAAAGAUGUUGAGAAUUAGGCACAAGAACCGGGUUCAAUAAGUUGACAAAUACCAAACCGAGGACCGACGUGGAAUCGUGGAGAAAAAGUUACAUUACAAUAAAGAUAAAUAAAGAAAAGGGAAGAUGACGUAAAGCUCAGAUUUGGAGCCUAACGAACUCCACGUCACCGCCUAAGUUCAUCCAUUGAAAUUUGACGGCGUCUUCUACUCUUCUAUCAUAACCCUUCGUUCUUUCAUGUGAACCACGUCACCGCCAUUCUCUUUUUUUUUUCUUUCUUAAUACAUUUCUCAAUAUGCGUCCAAUAUCAUAAAUAUAAUAUAUAUAUAUAUAUACAAUUUAACCUAUUAAGGCAUUGCAACUUGUAGUGAACUUUCAAAGGAACUUGCAUCCACAAAUUUAAACAUUUUUGCAUGUUGUAGAAUUGAACACGAAUAAUAAAGUGUGUAUUGAUGAUACACUUGUGUUACUUAUUUGACAAUUUAUUUGGUUUUCUUAGAAAAACUGAAACUGGCUUAUACAGUAUGUUUGUACACAUUUUUUGUAUUCGAAGAAAUUGGGGCAUCAUACAGUGACAUUGCUAUUAAUGUUUCUUCUAUAUCAAACCAAGUGAUAACAAAAUAUAAAAAGUAAUAAUGUUGACUUGUAAAUAAAGUAAGAAAAUUAAAUUCUGUCAUUUCAGAAGAGGAAGUAUGUCACAUGUAUAAUAGAUCAUCGAUACUUUUCAUGAGAACUUCCACAAGAAAGCCAUUGACUUCUUAUACCUUUCUCAAUUUUCCAGCUUGACCCAUUUUUUUCUUUUGAAGUUAUGAGAACUUUAUGUAUAAAAACAUUUUAGACUAGACCUCAAGAAAAUUCAGAUAUUUUUAUAAUUUGUGAAAAAAAUGUUGAAAUAAAUUGAUUGGAUUAUUUCUAUUACUAACGUUAAUCCAGUAUUAUGGUGGUCUAUAUUAUUAUUAUAGCCACCUAUACGGAAUGUUGAUGUGCCAAACAAUGGAGACACACAUUGUGUACUUGGAUUAAUGAAUAAAAUGACAUGUAUCAGUCUAUGGGACACAUAGUAAACUAGAUUAUUUCAUACCUAAAAUGCUAUAAUAUUUGAUUGAUAAAUGAUAAGAACAAAGAAAAGUUCUUGCAAGUUUGAAAAAAAAAAAGAGAAUAUCUUGACUCGUGCGGAUCUCAAACUUUUCUUUUCUAUCCUCUUCUCAAAUUAUAUUCCAAGUAAAACACGCAAUUACCAUAAGAGUUAAACAAUAUAAAAAGAGUUCUCAACUAAAUCUUCCAAAAGAGGCUUUCUCUUAUGGUUCACAUGUAAGUAUAUACUUUAAUUUACAUAAAAUUUAAUUUAACGAAUCCUAAUGAGCCUAUUUUCUGAACACGUACAAAUCAAUUUAAUGCAUAUCUUCACAUUUACACAAGAAUAAAGAAACUACACAUAUUUUUACUCCAUUGCUUCUGAAUUUAUAUAAUUCUUUCCAUUUAAUAUGAUUGAGUUUUUAUCCCUCUAACAAGGAAAAAUAUUAUAUAUAGAUACAAGGAAAGCCCAUUUCAUUAUCUAUCUUCUCUUUGAUUCAGCGAGCGAAAUAAAAACAAAAGGCCAAAAAUGGGUGCAGACGCAAUCCAAACGAACGGUCACGAUCCCGCCAAGUUAACCGCCGCGAGAGGGAUCCAACGGUUGAGAUGCGCCGUGAAGAACUACGAGUGGGGCAAACUCGGACCGGACUCACUUGUUGCGAGGCUCCACGAGGCGAAUUCAGGGGACCGAGUCGACCCGGUGGUUCCUCACGCCGAGUUGUGGAUGGGUACUCACGAGUCGGCACCGAGUUACGUUGUGAAGGAAGAAGAAUUCGGGUCGGGUCGUAAUGGAUCCGAAUGCAUGGUUACAUUGAAAUCAUGGGUUUUGGAUUAUCCGAAUUUACUCGGGUCUAGAGUCGUGGACAAAUGGGGUUGUGAUCUUCCUUUCCUCUUCAAGGUAUUAUAUUUUAAAAGUUUCCAAUUAAAACAUGUAUAUUCAAAACCUUCUUUCAAAAAAAAAAAAAAACAUGUAUAUUCAGAUUCUGUUUAUGGUAAAUCUUUUUGUUUUUCCAGUUUUGUCUCAUACAUAAUUGUUCAGGAACAAAAGUAUUAUUUAUUUGAUCCUAAGAUUCUCAUUUUGAAUAUUUUUGCUCUGUUUUGAGGAUUUUACUUUUUGACUCUGUUUUCUUAUAAAAUUUCUAAUUAAAAGUCAAAACAUAUAUAUAUAUAUAUAUAUAUAUGUAUUUUUUUGUAAUUUCAGAUUCUGUGAAUUGUCAAUUUCUCCACUUUUUAUAUUUACAUAUAUUAUAUAUACAGCCAAUUUGUCUUGUUAGAUACAUAUAUAUUUUGGCUCUGUUUUGAGGAUGAUACAUUUUAACUCUGUUUUCUCAAUUUAUAAAAAUGCAUUUCUUUUUCUCUGUGUGUUUUAAAUUUAAAACAUAAAGGUUUGAUUCUAAUGAAUAAGAGUUUGAUGUUGAAAUGUGCAAAAAAUAAAAACAGGUUUUGUCAGUGACGAAAGCAUUGUCGAUUCAAGCACAUCCAAACAAAGCCUUAGCAGAGAAAUUGCAUAGAGAAGAUCCUCUUCUUUACAGAGAUGCUAACCAUAAGCCUGAGAUUGCUCUCGCCAUUACUCCUUUUCAAGCUCUUUGUGGUUUCGUAUCUCUUAAUGUACUAGAUUCUUCACUUCUCUGCAAACAUCUAAUUUAGUCGGUUUUUGAUUUAGAUAACUUCGGUUAUUUUGCCUAUCACAUAUGCUAAAUCCAAAAUUGAACCGGUUCUGUACCACUUUUGAUAUCAAAUUCAGGAGCUGAAGGAAGCCAUCGCCAAUGUACCAGAAAUCACAGAGCUUGUCGGAAGUAAAGCAGCAGAUCAAAUCUUCAAAGUCAACGAACACGAUGGAGACGAAACAAGUGUUAAAUCCGUUGUCCGUUUGAUUUUCACGCAAUUGAUGUCUGCAAACAUCAAUGAUACAAAGCAAGUCAUAUCACAGAUGAAGAUUCGUCUGAUCUCAGAAACAAACCACCGUGAGUUAUCGGAGAAGGAGAAGUUAGUAUUGGAACUAGAGAAACAGUAUCCAGGUGACGUGGGCGUGAUCUCAGCAUUCUUCUUUAACCACGUCAAGCUUAAUCCCGGAGAGGCUUUGUAUCUUGACGCCAACGAGCCACACGCUUACAUUUCCGGCGACUGUGUUGAGUGUAUGGCGGCUUCAGACAACGUUGUUAGAGCUGGUCUCACUCCGAAACACCGCGAUGUUCAAACUCUGUGUUCUAUGCUGACCUACAAAUUGGUAACUUUCUUUACACGUUAACGUUUUUUUUGGUUUAGUUGGCUAGCAAAAUUUGGAUUGUACCCUAACCCUAACCAAAACCGAAAAUUUAUUUUUCUUUGUUUGGUUAUUGAUUAAUUGUACCGGAUUUGUUUCAGGGCUACCCGGAGAUUUUGAAAGGAUUUCCUCUGACUCCAUACAUUACGAGAUACCUUCCACCAUUUGAUGAGUUUGAAGUGGACCAUUGUGAUCUUCCUAGAGAGAAAUCCACUGUUUUUCCGGCCAUACCAGGGCCAUCGGUUUAUCUGGUUAUUGAAGGAAAAGGGACAUUGAAAACCGGUUCAUCUCAAUUGUUGGUUAAACGAGGAGAUGUUUUGUUUGUUCCGGCACAUAACGAGAUUCACGUAACCGGAGAAAGUGAUGUGAUGAAGCUUUACAGAGCUGGAGUCAGCAGCAGAUUCUUUCAAACAAUGUAGACUAAGUAAAGAUACAUAUAUAUAUAUUUAAUUUGUUAUCUAAAUGUAACCAUAGGGAUCAAGGCAUUGACGUGAUCAUAGUCAAUAUUGGUCCAUGUUCUUUAAUCCUACAAAUGUCCCAUUACGAAUCAAGGGUUCAAGGGGUUGUUUUUCUAUUAACUUUUGUUGUUUCUUCUACACCUUUAAAAUUGAAUUAUAUAUGUAAAAUGAUUAUAAAACAAUGUUUUUUUUUUUACUUUUUGCUAUUGUAGUGUAGUAACUAGUAAUUAUUCUUCCUUUACCUGUUUAAACUUUAAUUUCUAGAACUACUCUGCAAAAGCACAUUUGUUCAGUUGUAAUAUGUAGAGAUCGAACCACAGAGACGAGAAAUUCGCUCAAUAAACCUAAUAGACUCUAAUUGCGCUAAGAAGAAAUAAUGAAAUUGAGAGCAGCAAUGCAAUAAAAAACGGUUUUAAAUUCGAUGGGAAAGAAUUAGGCUCAGGGUGUUUCACAGAAAAUCAGAGAAUGCAGACAAAUCGAUUAGUCAUGAUUCAGAUUUAAGCGCAAUUCUUGAACUCAAAUCACGAAAUUAUAAUUAACUAACUUUUGUUGCGAAAAUUAUUUAAAUCUAAAUCCCAGAAUCCCAAUUUUCUUUGCAAUCCUAAAGAUAUAAAUUAGCCUUAAGUGCAGGUUCGAUAUGUUCACAAAGUGUCUAAACCAAUUUUUUUUGUGGAUAGCUACUUUGCUCAUCCUAGGUUCUUUCGGAUUAUUCAAUUACAGUUUCGUGUCAAUCAAUUAACCUAAGAUCUAAGUUCUAGGUGAUCAGUCCAAAAUUAGCUUUAAGAAUAAUCUAUGGUGAAUUACUAAUCAGAUUAUGACCCCUAACUAAUUAAUUAUCUAAAAUUCAAAGGGAUCCCUUAUGAGAACCCUAAACCUAACAAACAAACUACUCAAAUAUGGAGAUUGAAUCAAUAAACAUGAAUGAAUAGAUUGCAGAAAGCAGUAAAAAGAUUAAUAAACAGAGGUUCAAAAUCUUCUCUCAAACAAACAGAGUCUCAGACUUGUCUCCCUAAAAGCUCUCUCAAGAUCAAUAGAAAUCAAAAGUCUCAAAGAAAAUCUAGAGUGUAGCCAAAACACGUGGCUGAAAACCCUAUCAAAAGCUAAAACACAUGUUGGACUUCCCUGUAAAUAUUGGAGACUUCUGGGCUCAAGAGAUUCUUUAAAACUUAGACAAAAUCACGUUUUUCCUUAUUCACGACAUUGGUGUCGAGCAACACCAAAACAUAUAAAUCAUCUUUCACGAAUUUGAUCCCUGCUUAGUUCCAAAAUGCUCUAAAAUCUCCAAUUAAACUCCAAAUACAUUUAAGACCUGAAAAGACUCCAAAAAAUUAAAAAAACACUAAAGAGACUCUAUAAAUAAAACCUAUCAUGAUCAAAAACCAUAAAAAAAAACCAUGAUAUAUCAUUCUCCAUGAUAAGCAUUUUUCGAAUGGUCUGAGUCGAACAAAACAAUGUUCUCUAAAGUAUAAGGCCAAUUCUUUUUGCCUCCCUCGUCACUUACCUUUUGUUUGUGGCUUCCAUGGCAUAGACUAGAGAGAUGACCCCGAGAAGACCUAAUCUAGCACGCAUUUGUUUGGAUGUUGCUAAUGUUCCGUUUUAAAGUACAUAUGCAAAGAUCGUGGAAAGUAAAACGAACUCAAUCUUAAGUCUUGAGACAAUGAUUUUUGCCAAUUUUCCGGUAAGCUUUCCCGGUGAAAUCUUUCACUGGAAUGACCUGAUUAUGGAUGCGCUGGAAACUUGAGUACUAUAACGUGAUAUACUUAUAUGUCAAAAUCGAAUUUAAACUGAAUGAGAAAUGAGGAUUCUUAGAGAGUAUAGCUUGAAAGCUUAAAAAUAACAUAAGUUACCAAAUGACAAGUGUGAUUUGUCCCACAUUAGCAAUUCAACGUUACAUUUUGAACGUAGUGUUACGUUCUCCCCUUGAUAAUACUCAAUAGAUCUGCUUCUAGCCUGUCCCAACAAUCUGAUUCGGAUUGAGAAUUGCGGUUUUUGCGAACGUUGUUAAAGAUUUCCAAAAAAAAAAAUAUUUCAUUACGGCUUUUCACAUCAAAUCGGAAAAACUCUGCUUAGUUUUAACUUUUUAGGGAAUUUGAUAAAUAUUUGACAAACUUUGUGAAAAUAACUUUUGGAGUAGCAAAAUUCCGCAAAAAAAAAAAAAAAACUCAGAGUAAACUUACUGACAAAAGAAAAAAGUUUCCUCAAGUUGGUUUAGUCGCAUUCCUUUUGUCAAGCACUUAAUCCACUACAAAGACGUUUUGUUGUAAUUUAACCGAACUGAACAAUCAUUCCAAAUCUUAAUAAGCAGCUAAAGAGAGACAUUGAGAGACCAAGAUAAACCGGUUUACUUGCACCUACUUGCUGUUUGUUAAAGCUUUGGUUACAAAAUGUGAAACGAUUCCAACCGGACAGAAGAGAAGGCACAAUGAAACCGAAUGCCUCGUCUCAAUCUUAUUCUCUAGCCCAUCAUUAAAAACUUGCCUGCAGAGAAACACUCAAAACAUGAGUUAUAAGAAACAUGCUAGGAUCAAUCAGAACCUGAAAAGUGCAAUAUAGUACCUUGCAGCGAAAAGAUCUAUAACAAGAAGAUGAAUCCAAGCAGAAGCAAGAGUCAUUUCACUUGAGAACAUUUUCGCUAUUCCAGACAACUGCAAAUGAAAAAAAAAAAAAGAAAUUUUAGAAACUGGAAUGUACACAUUUUCUUGUUUUCGAUAUUUCCUGAUAAUUGGAGGAAAAAGCUAAAACCUCUGGCAACAUGUAUUUACUGGAAAACAUGUAUUUGAGAGUAUCAGGCGUCCAAGAAAGGUAUAACAAAUACGCGUAUAAUACGCCUAAGACGAUAUACGGUAUGCUACUCUCCAUACACUUUUUGGUCUGCACAAGGAGAAAACAUACACUCAAUUCAAUAUGAACUUUUUUGAUUCUGCACAAGAAGUUGUAAAACUGCUAAACAAAAACUCACAAUUUCAGCUUUUGGAGCUACAACCAUUAGAGUGUAAAAGGGUAAAACAGCGGUUGUUCCAACCGCAAAUACACUGCUUGCAAUCUGAGAAGUAGCUAUCCCUGCACAAGAACAUGUUAUGUCUCUGUCCUACUUUCAAUUUAAACAUUGAAGAGCUAUAGAUUCUAGACAUAUAUCAAGCCUCUUUUUGGUUUAUAAUGUUUCAGUUAAGAGACAUUACAUGAAGCUCGUACACCAGAGGAUUUCUUUUGAACAAGAGAGGACGAGUUCGAUGAAACAUUAGGGAAAAGUGCGAUUUUUGAUCCUCCGAUAAAGCUCCAACGAUUCUGAAGUCGAAUACUUGACGAACCAACGCAUAGUUUAGACUUGACAUUGCUGAGAGAAAGACUUGUUAUCGAGCUCUUAGCUGAAAUGUUGCGAUUCAUCAUCUGAAUCACCAAACAAAAUGAAUCAAUCUGAUGAAAUAUAAAAAACUUCUUUAUUUCUUAAAAUUUAGGAAUCUGAGACCAAAAGCACUUUGAUCUGAACAACAACGAAUCAGGAACAGAGUUAGGUUCUGUAACAGGGACCCAUGAGGAGUAAAUUCAACUUCUUUAAUGUCUGCGUCAAUUCGAUCUGAUUCAAAGGAUAAAACUUUAAGGUUACCCAUAAGGAAUCUGAACUAUUCGAAAUUGUAGAAAGCUCGACAUAAGAAUCUAAUCCGACAAUCUCCAACAACUGUACAUACAUACAUACAUACAUACAUACAUGAUACAUACAUACAUACAUACACACACAUAGAUAUAGACAUAUAUCUGCGUAUACCGAAAAUUGGAGAAGAAUUGAAAAAGGAAGAGAAAAGGUAGAUACCGAGAGAGAUGAAGAAGACAAAGGCUGGGAAAUGCAAGAAGAUAAAGCCAUCUGCGAUUCAAAUCUUCAAUAGUCUUUGCCAGAAUUUGGCCAUUCAUUACCUUCUUCAACGAGCUCUCUCCAUAUAUAUAUGUAAAGUAUCAAUUUUUAGAGAGGAGAGUUGAGAGUUUUCCACUGGUUGAAAAGGGUAAGUGGAGAAGAAGCUAAGAGAAAAAGUGCUCACUCACUCUUUCUUCAUCAGUGUGGACAAUUAUAGUUGCUCAUCCACCCGAAUUUUUUAAAAAAGUUUUGGUCUUUUUUAGUUUUCCUCGUUUACUUCUGUUUCGCAUAAACAAAAAAAAAAGAAAAAACCAUUAUGAGUUUGAGUUAAUUUUAAAGAGAAAAUCAAAUUUAAAGAUUCUUUAUAUUGUAUGUUCAAAAUUGCAAUAUAUUAUGGAAAAAAAGAGAAGAUUUUUUCCUAAUUUUAGAUAAAAACCUUUAAUAAAAAUCAAAAAAUUAUUAAGAUAUUAAUUUAACCUUAUAUUUUAGAUAUUGUUCUUUUUCUGGUCAAUAUAAAAAAUUACAGUUUACCAUUCUUAUAUAAAAAAAAAUUAAUUAGACUCAAAUGGAAUGUUUUUAUUUUUUUAACAAGAAUAUAACUUUCAUAGAACCUAAUACCCAAAAAAAAAACAUUUGACCCGACUAAAUUAAAAUUCAAGGAAAGAUUGGAGCUUUGAUCCUUUACUCGAUAAAAAAAAGGUUCUUCAUUGUAUGAUCAAAUGACUUGUCGGAUUGUAUUUGUAGGUGGCUCAUCGUAGGAUUAAUAGCUUCUCGGAUUUUGUUAUCCUUGUCUUGUGUUUUGCUUUUUCCGUGAAGAUCAAAAUUUUCUUCUAUACAUUCCUGCUAUAUAUUCCAUCAUGUUCUACCGGUUACACUUAUAAGCCUAUAAGGAUAUCUAAUCUACUUUUUUAUUUGAUAAAAACCUAAUAUCUUUGUUAAUGGAUAUUUGUGCUUAAACUGAAUUUAGACACAACACAGGUCUAGUUCAGGACAGAACAAGACAAAAGUGACAGUGCUACUUCUACUCAGCAGUGGUUGUGACUUCCUCUAAAGACAAAAGUUGGUGUUUCCACCAUUAUUUCGGUUUUGCUUUUAUUAUAUAUUUUAUUUUAAUUUAUUUUUCGCUACAUGAGAAUUGCAUUAACGAAGGACAUUAUAUAUGAAAACAAAAAAAAACAAUAAAAAGAUAUACAUACAUGUGUCUGACACUCAUUGUUUGUGAAAUCAGUUGGGAGUAAGAUAGCGCUUGAGUGGGCUAUUUGGUAUGAUAGCUUCUCUCUAUUGAUGGGCCUUAUUGACCCACCCCACUUCAGUUUUGUUUAGUCAUUCACAACAAGAAAAACAUGAAAACAAAAGCAACACUUGUCUUUUCUAUCUCUCAAUCUGUAAGUGGUAUAUGCGCAUUUCGUUGAAUUCGAUUGAGACCAAAACUCUUUUAAAACAUAAUGUAUAGUUCUUAGGAUUAUAUGGGGAAAAUAUAUGAUGUCUCAAAGAUUUUUCAUAACAUAUUAUAUUCCUUAUAAUAAAAGGUCACCUGGGGUUUUUCUAUAAACCGGGGUUUUUUUAUAAACCGCCGGCUUUUCUAUAAACCGCCGGCUUUGUCUCUGGAGAUGUUGUAUCAUCUGCCGGCUUUGUGUAAUCCGUUGGCUUUGCUCUGUAACACUAUGGUGAUCAAUAUAAUAAUAUUCAAUGAAAAAAAAAAAAGGUCACCUAAAUAAUUAAAAAUUUGAAUUUUUACGACUCAUAUUUCUAUCCUAUUCCAAAGCUAGGAAAACAACAUAAAGAGUUACAAAUUCUUACUAUAUAGUACUUCCAACAAUAUCUUUAUGUAAAUUUGUGCCAAGUCAUUUUGAGUGGAAAAUGUAGAAUAUAUGAUCCACAAGAUCCUUGAAUAUACUUGGGUAUAUAGAAAUAAAAAUGAAUAUCCGAGACUCUUAUCUACAAGCCUAUCCUUAAGAAGGCACGUCCACGAAUGUUUCUAUCACAGAUUUUCAGUGGGCCAUCAUCUAUUACUUCAAGAUAUUGUUCUAAAAAUGCAUCUCAACCUCAAGCUUACUAAUCAUGUGACAAAAGUGAUAAUGUGAAUCUAGUUUUUCAAAUAAUUUCUUUAUUCAAUGACGACUAAUCAAAGAGUUGGUAUAUUUUUGUAUUCACAGUUCUUCAACUUUGUAUAUUUUCAUAUCUUGAGCCGCAUUGUAAUUUGUUUUUUCUUAUAUGCAAAAUUCAAAAUCAAAGAUUUAUAGAACAUUACAUAUUUAUUUCAUCAGACAUUUGAGAAUCCGAUAGAAAAUGUCUCGCAAACCGGAAAACAAACGUUAAAUCCGGAAAUUAAAACAAAACUAAGGAAACCAAAAAAAAAAAAGCAGAUGAUAAAAUCAAAGGUGAGGAGGGAGAUAAAGUUUUUUUUUUUUGAUGUUUACACAAAGCAAAGAAGCAGUGAAAUUAAGCAUCGGUGAAGCUUGCUGGCUUGUAGGCGAUGAAACUGAUGCACUGGACUUGACGGGUGUUGUCGAAUCCGAUGAUCCUAAUGAAGGCCUGGGGGUACUCCUUCUUGCACUCUUGCACUUCCUUCAACACUUGAGCUGAGUCAGUGCAUCCGAACAAAGGAAGCUUCCACAUUGUCCAGUACCGUCCAUCGUAGUAUCCGGGAGUGCUUCCGUGCUCACGGUGCACAAAUGCGUUCUACAAAAACACAUUACACAAAACCAUUCAAAAACAUAAAUCAAGAUUCUGCUUAGGACCUCUAAAUAGUUAUUAACUUGAUUGCAAGAUUCAUAUGGUCCAAGAGAUCAAGCUACUCUAUAAAUGAUUUUUAUUACCUCCAACUCGAAUUCAACACAGGGAAUCCACUUGUUGCGGAGAAGGUAGUCAACUUCCUUAGCCAAUUCAACUUCGGUUAGGUCAGGAAGGUAAGAGAGAGUCUCAAACUUCUUCUUACCAAUAGGAGGCCACACCUAUUUUUUGCCAUUUUUCCAAAAUCAACAAAAACAAUAUUAGUUUAUAUGAUUCGAUAAAUCAAAAACCCAUAAAUUUGUUUUUGGUAUAAGAGAUUUGACCUGCAUGCAGUUAACUCUUCCGCCGUUGCUUGCGAUGGAAGUAAUGUCGUUGUUGGCCUUACGGGUCACAGGGAAAGCAGCGGAGGACUUAAGUCCGGUGAAAGGUGCGACCAUUGUGGCCUGAGCCGGAGAAGCGACCAUUGUAGCGGAAGAGAGCAUAGAGGAAGCCAUAUUGCCUUUACUCUUUUUGUGUGUGACUUAGGUUUGGUCUAGUGCUUUGGUCAUCUAUAUAUAAUGGUAACAACAAUGAUAACAAGGUGAGGGAGUGAUCGGAGGGCUCA
rnacentral:lncRNA from 1 species